rnacentral:lncRNA from 1 species
CCAGCUUCCAAGAGUAGUGAUUCUUGAGUUUAAUUCAACAGAAUGGCUGGCUCAGUAGCUGUCAAGGUCUCAUGCCUGGUGUUGAUGUGCAUGUUGGUGGCUUCGCCCAUGGCAGUAGAAGGGUUGUCGUGUGGUGACGUAGCAACCCAGUUGGCCCCGUGCAUCAACUACCUGAGAAGUGCUGGCCCAUUGCCUCCGGCGUGCUGCAAUGGUGUUAAGAACCUCAAAAACUCUGCCGCCACCACACAAGACCGCAGGACCGCUUGCAAGUGCUUGAUAAAUGCUUCUAAAUCCAUCUCUGGUGUGAACUUUGGUCUGGCUGCUGGCCUCCCUGGCAAAUGUGGUGUCAACAUUCCUUACAAGAUUAGCCCCUCCACCAACUGCGACCAGUAUCUACCCUCUCUCUCUAUUUCCUUCUCUCCUUAUCUCAUAAGGAAUUAACAUGAAAUUUUACAUAUUUUCUAACUCGUGGUGUUUGUUGUUGCAGAGUGAAUUGAGGUGACUGGAGGAGCGAGGAACCUGUUUAGCAGCAUGAAAAUAAAGCGGACGUUGAGUCCAGUGCUCGGGACUUCACUCCAGCAAGUGACCUGUAGUAUUUGUAGUAAUGUGUGUCCGUGUCCCAUUCUACUUGUUUGCCAUCUAUCUAUCUGCUUGAGUGAGUGAGCGAGUGAGUGCCUAUCCAUGUAAUAAUUAUCCUUACGGGAACCAUGCUGGUCUACUUUUUUCUAUACCACUACUACUCUCUCUCUCUCUCUCUCUCUCUCUCUCUGAACUAAGGGGUACCCUAUAAUUAUCCUUACGGGAACCAUGCUUGUCUACUUUUUUCUAUACUACUCCUCUCUCUCUCUCUCUCUCUCUCUCUGAACUAAGGGGUACCCUACAAUGAAAUGAAAAGGGUUCCACUGCUAGGUAAGCGGCACAUGGGUGGGUGAGACAUGUGAAGAGAAGGGCACACACUCAUGCCAAUUGAACAUUAAUGGCUGGGAGUUGGGGCAGACAAAUCAUAUUUUCACAUAGGGCCACUUUCUAAAAGGAAAAAACUGGAGCUCAGCCCCAUUCUUCCGUAAGUAAUUGAAGUUUAUGUUACUGUAACAAUGCCCAACCACAUAGAUGACCAAACCCCAAUCGUUUCAAAAUCUUAGGGUUGUUUGUUAGCAGAAAAUAGAUUUUUUUUCUUUUCUUUUCUUUUUCCCAUAACAGAAAAUCGAAGAUGGAAUGUGAGUAAAAAGAAGACAUUAUUUCAUUUCCAAAAAUGAACAUAUUUUUGAAAUAUGACUAAUUGUUAAACACUCCCUUGUGACUCAUGUAUUUUCUUGGCCGUUCCAUUAAUAGUACACUAAUUUAAAAAAAUUAUGCUUAAAUUAUUAUAGUAGAAGAAGUUAUUACAAAUAUAUGAUAGUUUUUGUCAUAUAGAAGAUAGGAAAGAGGAGAGAGGAGAGAGGGUGAACGGAUAAUUUUUUUUAAAACCAAAAUCAUCUUUUCAAAUUUCAAAAGAUGAAAUCGUCUCUUCAAGAUACGAGUUUUCAUGAAAAAAUAUAUAUAUAUAAUUUUUUUUAAAAAUUCCCAAAUUAAAAAAAAAAAAAAAAAAAAAUCCUCAAGGAACUCGUGAAAAGACGAGUUCCCAUGAAAAAAAAUAUUUUUUUUUAAAUUUCUAAAUUACUAAAAAUAAAAAUAAAAAUAAAAAAUAUCUCAAGGGAACUCGUCUCUUGAAAAGACAAGUUCCCAUGAAAAAAAUAUUUUUUUUUUUUAAAAUUGUCAAAUUAUAAAAAAAUAAAAAAUUCCUCAAGGAACUCGUUUCUUGAAGAGACGAGUUCCCAUGAAAAAAAAUAUAUAUAUAUAUAUUUUUAAAAAAAUUCUCAAAUUAAAAAAAAAAAAAAAAAACAAUUCCUCUAGGGAACUCGUCUCUUGAAGAGACGAGUUUCCAUGAAAAAAAUAUAUAUAUUUUUUAAAAAAAAUUCCUAAAUUAUAAAAAAAAUAAAAAUAAAUAAAAAUUCCUAAAGGGAACUCGUCUCUUGAAGAGACGAGUUCCCAUGAAAAAAAAUUCCUCAAGGGAAAUCGACUCUUUAAAAAAAAUAUAUUUUUUUUAUAUAUAUUUUUUUUUAAAAUUCCCAAAUUAUAUUUUAAAAAAAAAAAAACAAUUCCUCAAGAGACGAGUUCCCGAAAAAAAAAUUUUAACAAAAAUUCCCAAAUUAUAAAUAAAUAAAAAAUAAUUGGGGAAUUUUUUUCAUGGGAACUCGUCUCUUUCCCUUGAGGAAUUGUUUUUUUUUUUUUUUUAAUUUUUAAUUUGGGAAUUUUUUUAAAAAAAAAUAUAUUUUUUCAUGGGAACUCGUAUCUUGAAGAGACGAGUUCCCUUGAGGAAUUGGUUUUUUUUUUUUUUUAAUUUGGGAAUUUUUUUUUUUUUAAAUAUAUAUAUAUAUAUAUAUAUUUUCAUGGAACUCGUCUCUUUAAGAGACGAGUUCGCUUGAGGAAUUUUUUUUUUUUUUUUAAUUUGGGAAUUUUUUUAAAAAAUAUAUAUAUAUAUUUUUUCCAUGGGGAAAAGACGAGUUCCCUUGAGGAAUUGUUUUUUCUUUUUAAAUAAUUUGGGAAUUGUUUUAAAAAAAAAAUUAAUGGAACUCGUCUCUUCAAGAGACGAGUUCCCUUGAGUAUUUUUUUUUUCUUUUUUUUUUUUAAUUUGGAAAUUUUUUUUUUAAAUAAUUUUUUUUCUAUGGGAACUCAUCUCUUGAUUCCCUUGAGAAAUUGUUUUUUUUUUUUUUUUUUUUAAAAAUUGGGGAAUUUUUUAAAAAAAAUAAUAUAUAUAAUUUCAGGGAACUCGUCUCUUGGAAAAAACAAGUUCCCUUGGAGGAAUUUCCUUUUUUUUUUUUAAUUUGAAAAUUUUUUUUUUUAGGGGAAACUCCCUCUAUUGAAGAAAACGAAGUUCCCUUGGAGAAAAUUGGUUUUCUUUUUUUUUNNNNNNNNNNNNNNNNNNNNNNNNNNNNNNNNNNNNNNNNNNNNNNNNNNNNNNNNNNNNNNNNNNNNNNNNNNNNNNNNNNNNNNNNNNNNNNNNNNNNUUUUUUUUUUUUUUUAUUUGGGAAAUUUUUUUUUUUUAAAUAUAUAUAUAAAUAUAUAUAUUUUCAUGGAACUCGUCUCUUUAAGAGACGAGUUCCCUUGAGGAAUUUUUUUUUUUUUUUUAAUUUGGGAAUUUUUUUAAAAAAUAUAUAUAUAUAUUUUUUCCAUGGGGAAAAGACGAGUUCCCUUGAGGAAUUGUUUUUUUUUUUUAAAUAAUUUGGGAAUUGUUUUAAAAAAAAAAUUAAUGGAACUCGUCUCUUCAAGAGACGAGUUCCCUUGAGUAUUUUUUUUUUCUUUUUUUUUUUUAAUUUGGAAAUUUUUUUUUUAAAUAAUUUUUUUUCUAUGGGAACUCAUCUCUUGAUUCCCUUGAGAAAUUGUUUUUUUUUUUUUUUUUUUUAAUAAUUUGGGAAUUUUUUAAAAUAUAUAUAUAUAUAUUUCAUGGAACUCGUCUCUUGAAGAGACGAGUUCCCUUGAGGAAUUUCUUUUUUUUUUUAAUUUGAGAAUUUUUUUUUCUAUGGAAACUCGUCUAUUGAAGAGACGAGUUCCCUUGAUGAAUUGUUUUUUUUUUUUUUUUUUUGUUUAAUUUGGGAAUUCUUUUAAAAUAUAUAUAUAUAUAUUUCAUGGAACUCGUCUCUUCAAGAGACGAGUUUUCUUGAGGAAUUUUUUUUUUCUUUUUUUUUUGUUUUUUAUAAAUGGGGAAUUUAAAAAAAUAUAUAUUUUUUUUCAUGGAACUCGUCUCUUGAAGAGACGAUUUCCUUUUUGAAAUUUUUUUAAAAUCGUCUUUUGAAAAGACGAUUUCGUCUUUUGAAAUUUGAAAAGAUGAUUUUGGUAUAAAAGAAAUUUAUCUGUUCAUUCACUCUCCUCUCUCCUAAGUAGCAAAAACUACCAUAUAUUUGUAAUAACUUCUACUACUACUAUAAUUUAAGCAUAACUUUUUUAAAUUACCGUACUAUUGAAAAAAGUCUGUUCCAUCAAUAUCUAAAAGUACACUAAGACACUUAAACCCACAACUACCCAUCUCCAAAAAUUCAAUAUUCUUAAAAGAACACCAAAUGCAGUUCUCCAAGGGAUAUUGAAUGAAUCCCUAUUUCUUAAAAUAGGGUUUAUCCAUUCACAACCAAUCAUAUAGAAAUUAUCACAUUUGGAUUCAAAAUGAUCCUCACCGUUUUAAAACAUAUCUACUUGGCUGAAGAAAUUAUCACAAACACCUUCCGUAUUAACACAUUUUUGUUGUAUAACAUAGAAUUAUAGGACCUCAUAUGGGCAAACAAACCACCUCAAAACAUAUUUUUAAAAUAAUAUUUUUUUUUAUAAAAAAUAUAUUCUAACAUAUUCUUUGAAAUAAAAAACUGUUUUGAAUUUUAAAAAUUAAACGUUGUUUUCAAAAACCCAUUCCAAACAUGGCAUAAUUUUCCUUUUUAUAUAUAUUUAGUUUAUUUCUCAUUUCAUGCCUAGUGGGGCCGGGGCAAUAAAUGGAUAUGUUUUCUACUAAGGUGAGAACCAAUUUCGUGAGUGGAUAUUUAUUAAAUAUUAAGAAUGUGUUCGGUAGUAAUACAAGAAAUUGUUUAUAUAUUUUUUUAAUAUUUAAAUUUUUUUAUAUUUUAAGUAUUAAAAAUAUUUUUUAAAAUUAUUAUUAAAUAUAUUUUAAGAGUAAGUUUGAUAAUAAUUUUAGAAAGUAUUUCUAAUAUUUUUAAUGCUUAAAAGAUAAAAGAUUUUAAAUAUUAAAAAAACUAAAAACAUUUUAUAAAAUUACUAUCAAAUACGUUAUAAGUUAAAAUGUGUUUAAGAAUAAUUUUAUAAAGUAUUUAUAGUAUUUUUAAUAUUUGAAUGAUAAACAAACGACGUUUUAAUUCAGAAUUCAGAGCUACAGGGACUUUUCUUAUCAAGAAGUGUAUGCAGCAUGAAUGAAUAUCAUGGUCACUGAUGGAUCACUAUCACCUUUGCAACAAUUGACUCGGAAAAUGACCAAAACACAAUGAAGACAUAAGAUGAAUAAGAAGCCUAAUGCUACUUUAUCUAUAAAAUAAUUUUUUAUUUGCAUGUACUCUAUACAUCAUGGCGCUACCUAUUCCUAGUAGGGUUCGAAUUUGUUCAACUCAACACUUUAUAAUUCUAUCUCAAAUUUGUUGAUUUUGGACUGAGACGGAUACUCCGACCAACUACUUCAAUACUUUGUCCGCUUGAACCUAUAAAAAGGUGUGCUUGGAUGGUUUUAAACAGACCUCAAUUUUUUUUAAGAAAUCUUUUCCGAAAACCUCAAAGCUGAUUUAAACAUCGAAGAGGUCCGUCCAAAAUCAUUUAAACACACAUUUUUGUUGAUUCAAGGGAAUGAGGCAUUAGAGUGGCUUUCUGAGGGCUCGGUAGCAAUCCAAAAUCAACAAAGUUUACCUUUUAAAAACAUGAAUUUAGUAUACAGAAUAUUCUCUGAUUUUUUUUUUUUUUUAAGUAUAUUUUUAUCUUAUGGGUAAAGUCUCUUUAAGAGAAGGAUAAUGAUGUGUUUUUUAGAGUUUUGGGGUAAAAUAACCCUUUUAUGUAAAAAAAUAUAUAUAUAUAAAUUUUAGCCCAUUUACAAAACUUAUGUUCAAAUUAACCUCUUUAUUACCACAUAGGAGUCAUAUCAUAUAUUUUUUUUUUUUCAAAAUUUAAGUUGAAGUUUCAAUUGCCAACUGAGGUUUCAUUUUUUAACUAAAACCUCAAUUGACAAUUAAGGUUUCAGUUAAUUUUUUAUUUAUUUUAAAAUUUAAUUAAAAAAUUAAAUUAUAAAUUAUUAUUAAAAUUUUAAAAAAUAUUUUAAUAAUAAUAAUUUAUAUAUUUAAACUUAAAUUUCUAAUAUUACUUCAAUAAAGAUAAAUUGAUAAAUAUAAUAAUAAACAAAUAUUUUAUUUAUCAAUAAAUUAUUAAUUUUAAAAUAAUAAAGUUAUAUGAAAUCUAAAUAAGAUAUAAAAUUAUAUAAUUUAUUAAUUUAAGAUAUUUAAUUUGUUGUAUUUUUAAGAUAUUAAUUUAUUUGUAUUUUGACAAAUUUAUCUUUAUUAAAAUAAUAGUAUAUUCUUAACUUUCGUAUAUAGAUUUUAUUAUUAUUAUUUUAAAGCAUAUAUUUAUAGUUUAACGUAAAAAUAAAUAAAUAAAUAAAUAAAAACUAUUAUUUGUACACACAAUAUAUAUGGCUUGAAGAUACAUUUUGAAAUUAGUUAAUGAAAUUAAUUAGAAAAAGUCUACUACAAAAUGUAAUUUUUAGUAGUUUCAUCAUAGUCACAAAAAAUAUCCAUUAAACAUUCAUAUAAUAGAAAAAAAAUGUCUCUCCCUAAUAUUAUAUGUGAUAUAACUUAAAUUAAUAAAUUAUAUGAUUUUAUAUUUUAUUUAUAUUUCAUAUAAUUUUAUUAUUUUAAGAUUAUUAAUUAAUUGAUAAAUAAAAUAUUUAUUUAUUAUAUUUAUCAAAUUAUCUUUAUUGAAGUAAUAUUAGAUCUUUAAGUUUAAACAUAUAAAUUUUUAUUAUUAAAGUAUAUUUUUUUAAUUUCAAUAAUAAUAAUUUAAAAUUUAAUAUUUUUAAUUAAAUUUUAAAGUAAAAAUAAAAUAAAAUAACCGAAGCAAAUUGGCAUAUCUUAUUUAAAUUUCAUAUAACUUUAUUAUUUUAAGAUUAUUAAUUUAUUAAUAAAUAAAAUAUUUAUUUAUUAUUGUAUUUAUCAAUUUAUCUUUAUUGAAGUAAUAUUAGAUCUUAAAGUUUAAAUAUAUAAAUUUUUAUUAUUAAAAUAUAUAUUCUUAAUUUCAAUAAUAAUUUACAAUUUAAUUUUUUAAUUAAAUUUUAAAAUAAAAAAAAUUAACUGCAACUUCAAUUGUCAAUUGAGGCUUUAGUUAAAAAAUGAAGCAUCAGUUGACAACUGAGACUUCAGUUAAAAAAUGAAGCCUCGUUUGGCAACUGAGGCUUUAAUUAAAAAAUGAAGUCUCGAUUGGUAACUGAUGCUUUAAUUCAAAAUUGAAGCAUCAGUUGGCAACUGAGACUUCAACUUAAAUUUUGAAGAAAAAAAAUAUGACUUAACUCUUAUAUGAUAAUAAAUGGGCUAAUUUGAACAUAAGUUUUGUAAAGGAGUUAAAGCUUAAAUUUUUUUUUACAUAAAAGGGCUAUUUUGCCCCAAAACUUUGUUUUUUAGCCUAUACUCCUAUAUAUAUUCAUCUUAUUAUUAAUCAAACUUUGUACUUGAUAUUCACUUCUCAACCAUCCUUUUUUUUUCAAAAAUCUCUAACCCUUGAACUCUGCGAUCUUCAAUUCUAUAAUUUUGGUUGAUAAAGUUUUCUGAAUAAAGAAGACAAGAGGAAUAUCUAAUUUAUACUUAGAUUAUUAAUUGUAAAAUGACUCUUUUAGAGUUUAAUUAAUUAAUUAAUUACUUCUAGUUUACUAUUUUGCCCCUAAUGUAAAUUUUGGGGUGUUACAGAGUAGGUGUCAAGGUCACAUGCCUGGUGGUCAUGAGCAUGUUGGUGGCUUCGCCCAUGGCAGUCGAAGGGUUGUCCUGUCAUCAGGUAGCAACCUAUUUGGUCCCUUGCAUCUCCUACCUGAUCUGGGGUUGCUGGUCCAGUGCCCUCGGUGUGCUGCAACGGUGUUGGGAGCCUCAAAACAUCUGCCGAAACCCCAGAUGACCACAGGACCGCUUGCCGGUGCUUGAUAAAUGAUGUUGCUUCCAUCCCUGGUGUGGACAUGGAUGUCGCUGAUGACCUCCCGGUAAAAAUUAAUGCUCUUUGUUUUAAAGGCCCAACCACAUUGGAGACCAAACCCCAAUCUUGUUCAAAAUCUUAGGGUUGUUUGGUAGCAGAAAAAAGGCAUGGGUCUAUGAUUACGAUAAAUAAAUAAAAAUUAAAUGAACAGUUAGGUAAGCAUAGUAAUGGAGCCAUUUAAGGCGUUUUGAAGUUGUGUAUUUUUUUAAAUUAUUUUUUAAAACAACGUAACAUCAAAAAUAACUCUUUGAAAAGAUGAGUUGAAUAUAAAAAUGAACUCGUUUCUUCAAAAACGAUUUUAAUAUAAAAUAAAGUAAACUCGUUUUUUUGACAGACGAAGUCAACAUUAAAAAUUUUAAAGUAAGAAUAAAACUUAUCUUUUGAAAAAUAAAUUCAGCGGAAAAACAAGUUUAAUAUAAAAAAAUGCAUUUAGUUUUUGAAACCACGAGUUUAGUAUAAAAUUUUUUAAAAAAUGAUAAAAGAUAUUAUACUUUUAUAUUUAUUUUUUUAAAAUAACAUUUUUUGAAAAAAAAAAAUCCUGUCGUUUAUAAAUUUAUUUUUUAAAAACUUUAAUGUUAUUUUAAUUUAGAUUUUGUUACAUCUACCAUAUGGACUCAGAUUUGACACUGAGAAUCAUACAAUAGCUUGAGAUUUUCUUUCCCUGGUCGUAACAACCCCGCCACAUUGUCAAAUUUUGAAAUGAAGGGAAUAUUGGUAAAUAUUUUCGGAUUUUGGCCCGUGUGGACUUCAAAACACAACCAGAAAUUUUUUUGGGAUAUUUUUCUGGAUUUUAUCAUCUUUUCCUUGAAGGUGACAAAAUUUGAUACAAUUUAUCGAUACGACUCAAACUUAACAUGUUUUUCACGGAUUUUGAUAGAGUAUAAUUGAAUUUUAGUUAAAAUCAUGUUAAGUUACAUAAAUCAUUUAAUAAAUAAAUAGGUUUUGGAGGCAACACAUAAAUGUGAACAAAAUUGACUUAUUUAAUAAUUCUAUUGAUUAUCUAAUUAUAAUUUUGAAUUAUUUAAUAGUAUUAAAUUUAUUUUUAAAUAAAUAGGUCAAUUAAAUUAUAAACAUGUUUAAUUGAAACAUUAAUCCUAUAGACGUGUAUAAAACCUAACCCAAUUUAAUUAUUAAAUGAGUUAAAUAGGUUAUAUAAUGUGUUAUCCAUUUAAUAGUCAAGUGGUAUUUGGGCUUAUAUUUUUUCUAUAAUAAUAAUUAAUAUUGGGUUUGGAUUAACCUUUGCGGUAAAAUACUUAAGUUUUGAUAUGAUACGAACAUGAUCCAUUAAUAUAAAUUAUCAUCUCUAAUAUUUCUCUUAAUAUUUGACAAAUUUGGAAAAUUCAUUAAAGAUUCAAACUAGUAAAAUUGAAUUGUAAAUCGUUCAUUGACUUUGUUAUUAUAGUGGAUUUUUCCUAUAUUCACAUAUAUUUAAAUACAAAAAAAUUAUAAACUUAUAAAUAAAAUUAUCAAUAUUUUUAAAUAAAAAAUAAUUAUACAUAUAUUAUUAUAUUUUUUAUAUUCUUAAAUACAUAUAAGAAUAACAACAGGUGAGCUCGAGUGGAUCACCACGUUCCAACUUCAUCCCUUCAUUCAAAAUAAUUCUUAUUUUCGUUUUAUUUAAAAUUUAAAAUGAGAUGAGAGUAGUAUGAGGAAUUCCUUACCUCAUCUUAUUUAACUAUUUUUAUUAAAAAAAAAUUAAUUACAUUAAAAUAAAUAUAUUUUAUAAAUAAUUAAAAUAUUAUAAUUUUUUAUAAUUUAUUUUAUUUAAAAUAUUUUUAUUAUUAUAUAUUAAAACAGAGAAAUAAAAAUUAAAUUAAUUUUAUAUAUAAUGGAAAUAAAAAAUAUCUAAACUUGUUUCGAGUUUUUAAAAAAAAAGUCUCAAACACAUCCUUAAUCGUUUAUUUAAAUUUCAAAUAUAUAAACAAAUGUAUCCCAUUAAAAACAAGAUGAGAUGGAUACUCCAAAAAAAUCCGCCAUUUGUAACUUUAAAGACUUGAUUACCUCUUGCAUGGCACACGUAGCCUACGGGCCCAGGGCCGCUGGGCUUGAAAUUCAAGGAGUGUACACAUCAACCAAUUGGUGGAACAAUAUGUUGGCAAAUUGUACUUGUCCCUUUCAUUUUUCAAUCUCCAAAUUACACCUACAUUGUAUCUUUGUUAUACAAAGCCAAAGUGUUUUGGUGAAAAAAUAAUAAUAAUAAUAAAAGCUUCAGUAAAAAUAGAGUGAAUGUAAAUUAACAAGAAAAAGAAACCAACUUUCAUGAAAUAAAGAACAACAAAAACCGACGGUGUUGCAUUUAUUGAGGUAUCUUGGUUCGAAGACUUGUCACUGUGUUUGGUUGCCGACAAAAUUUGGAGUAAGUUUUUUGACCUUUUCUUUGGUUUCCUUUUUUCUUGUGCAAUAAAAUUACCAUACAAGAAGACUUUUCAACACAAGGGGCAGUGAUUAAAUUGCGGUGCGUAUGGCCGUAUGGGUGGAAAGUCGCCCAUCCCCAUUGGGUUUUAAUGUGGCCAACAUGUUGGGCCUCUCUCCAUUACUUCUAUUUCUCAGUCCGGCGUGCUUUUUGAGACGAGACAAAUGGUCAAAGAAUUCGUCUACCCACAUGUAAGACUUACGAUUCUGAUAAUUCACAUCCUUAUGUUAUUAUCCUAAACCAUUUAUAUGAACAGUAUUAAUCCCCAAAUUGAUGAUAAAUAUAUAUAUAUAUAUAUCGAGACAAAAUUAAAGGAAAAAACAAGGAUCAAGGGUUGUCUGGUUGCCCUAGGUUUAACACGUAUAAGUAGUUGAAAACGACCUAGAUUUGAAAUUUACACCGGCCACCCACCCUAAAUGGUAGUCUAUAAUCUUGAGCAUGGCAUUUGUGGUUGUAAGCUACGGAAUUGAAUGAUUCAUCUCUAAUAUAAACAUCUUCAAUUAAUACAUUAAUAGCAUAUAAUAAUUCCUUGAUGAGUGUGUCCUCUAAUAUUCAACAAGUAUAUAUUAAAAAAAUAAAAUAAAUUAAGGUUGUUUACUAGGGUUCAAGGGUAAAGUUAUAAAUUCUUUCAUCCAUCUUUUAAAAAAAUUCUUGUGAUAUGAUUUUUUCUUAAUCUCUUUCUAUUCAUUAUUUAUUGAGAUGAUGGAUUUCUACCUCAAGUAUUAAGAUAUAUUUAUAUAAGUUUUUAAAAUGAACAAAUAAAUAAGGAUUUGAUUAUUUGUAUACCAGUUUUAUUGAAGCCAAAAAAAUUUCUUUAUAAUUUUUUACCUUCAUUUGAAAGGUUUUUUCACCGUUAUAUUUAAUACACUUUUUUCUUGAAUAUUCUUAAAUUAUUAUUAUUCAAUUCUUGUUAAAUUGUUAUUAUUGUUAAAUAAUUAUUAUUAUUAUGAUGAAAUCUUUUAAGUUUGACAGGUGAAUAAUCUAAAUAUUUCUCCUUUUAACUUAUCAACAAAUUAAUAACUAUGUUUUUAAAAUACAUUUAAAACACAAAUUAAAAGAAGGGGAAGUUCUCAAAUAGACUUUUAUUUUUUAAAAUAUCAUACAACCGUUUUUAAAAAAUACUUCCAGCAACAAAAGCCUCGAUGUUUAAUAUUAAAUAAUAUUACUCUUUUAGUAUCGUAUUGAAUAUUUUCGUCCAAUUUCACUCAAACAUGAAUAAAAUGUGAAGUAUGCCACCAAGAAAUGGAAAACGCUGGAAGGAUUAAGAAAAAAAAAAAGGGCAAUGGUACAAAAUAUAUAAGGGGUAAUUGAUAUCAAAAGUUGGGUGUCGAUCCUCCAUGAUUAUCGCAUGUCAAACUACACAUUGAAAAGUAAGCAAGCGCAUUAAAUCACGGAAUUAAAUCCAACUGCCAACCAAUUCCUCCCCAUCUCUCAUGCAUGCCCCUUACUGAGUGGUGCCCAGACCCACCACUUUCUCUAUAUAAACACAUCCCUCGUUGAAACCUUUUCCAUCAUCACUCUCCAGACCUUCACUUUCUCUUCUCUCCUAGCCUUACUAAUUUUCUCAGACACUGAGUAGUCAUCAUGGGUAGCUCCGGAGCUGUGAAGCUAGCUUGUGUGAUGGUGAUAUGCAUGGUGGUGGCGGCACCGGCGGCGGUGGAAGCAACCAUAACAUGUGGUCAGGUGGCAUCUGCCGUGGGCCCGUGCGCUAGCUACUUGCAGAAAGGUGGUUCAGUGCCAGCUGGGUGCUGCAGUGGGAUUAAGAGCCUCAACAGCGCGGCUAAGACCACAGUUGAUCGCCAGGCCGCUUGUAAGUGCUUGAAAACCUUUUCUGGUUCCAUCCCUGGCAUCAAUUUCGGUCUUGCAAGUGGGCUUCCGGGCAAGUGUGGUGUCAGCGUUCCUUACAAGAUCAGCCCCUCCACUGACUGCUCCAAGUAUGCUCUAUUAAUCUCUCACUACUCAUGAUAUAUUUAUAUAGAAUUCAGCUUGAUUAACCAAUAAGAUUUCUGCGACUGAAUUUUUUUUUUUUGUGAAUGUGUUCAGGGUGACUUGAAGCAAAAGGUGGAGUAGGAUGAGCUAUGGUAGCAACUAGCAUAAGAAUAAAGAAGUGGAGGGUAGAGGCUCCACUUGGACCACUCAGCCUUUAGUAUUAGUAGUACUAGUACUGGCGUCAUAUUCCUCUCUGUGGUUGUAUGACAUCUACUGGAGCGGUUGCAUACUUGCAUGUAAUAAAUAUCCCUGCUGGUUGCUGGACCCUAUCAUAUUAUAUAACUUUUACCCUCUCUCUCUCUCUCUCUCUCUCUCUCUCUAGUGUCCAGGAAAGAGAAAAACACAGAAAAAAGAAAAGGAAACAAACAGGUCUCUGGAAUCAAAUUUAAGAUAACUAGAAAAAUAUGACCAUGAAACAAUAGGAAAGAAGGAUAAGAAAAAAAUAUUUUUCACAAAGUGGAUGUAUAGGCUUCUUUUAAUUAUAUAAAUACCUUUUAAAUCAUAAAAAUUCAUUAGACUCACCAUGGACAGUAUGCAUUAUGUGCAUGCUAUCAAAUAAUAUUGAAAAUGACUGAUGUCCAUGUGAGCUGACUAGCUUUAAUUAGUCAUAAUUAUAAUCUCAAAUCAAAGUAAAAAAAAAUUUAAUAUUUUAGAAGGGGCAUUGCACAAAUUAUGUUAAAUAUAAAAUGAUUUUCUAAACAAGCUUGAUUCUAGCCUUUAGAAGGUAACUCCCUCAUAAUUCAGCUUGGUGUGGUAAUUCCAAAGGGGGCUUUUACCAUGAGCCCAAUGUCGUGGCGAAGGUUAUACCUUAGAAAGUCAGUGAAGCUAAGGUUUCGUAUGUGUUAUAUCCUUUCGAUCGAGCGACAACUUCUAAGGAUCAUUCCCCUCCCCGGUGCUAGAAGGUCGGAAGGAGAAGUGUUAUAAGCUUUGAAUGGAAGCCCCGGUAAACGGCGGCAGUAACUCUACCUGUCCUAAGGUAGCGAAAUUCCUAGUAACUAGUUGUUUAUAUCGAACUCGAAAAUAUAACUUGACUAUUCGGGACAACUAGAGGAACAUUAUUGCCGGCACUAUCAAAGGCCGCUAUUCCAGACCAAAAGUAUGGAAUAGAGUAAGGCCUUUAUUAGAAAAGAUGCAUAAAAACAACUUAAAAAUACUUUUAAUUUAAGAUGGGGUUUAUUUUUUAAUUGAAUAGAAAAAAUCAAAAUAUUUAAUUUUUUCUAUUCAGUUAAAAAUAACAUAUUGAUAUCAAUCAAUAUAAAAAUAAAUUCAAUUUAGUUAUUGUUAAUAUCAACAUAUUACUUUUAACUUAAUAAAAAUAAUCAAAUAUUUCGAUUUUUUAUAUUCAACUAAAAAACAAACAUUACCUAAUACAAAUAUUGAAAUUAUGUAAUUAGAGACUAAGGAGACGAAAUUAAAAAGUGGCAAUACUUUUGUUAAUAAGUUUAUUUUAGUUAUAUUGAUUUAUAUUAUUACUUUUUUAAUAUAAAAAAAUCAAAUAUUUAAUAUAAAAAAAUCAAAUAUUUUAGUUUUUUUUUUAUUCAACCAAAAAACAAACACCUCAAAAUUGAAAUCAUAUAGUUAGAAACUAAAGACAUGAAGUUAGAAAGUGAUAAUUCUCUUAUCAACAAAUUACUUUAGUUAUAUUGAUAGAUAUUAGUAUAUUACUUUUAACUUAUCGGAAGAAAUAAAAUAUUUUAGUUUUUUCCAUCAUUUCAAAAAACAAACCCCAUGUAAGACAAGUAUCAAAAUCAUGUAGUUAGAGACUUGGGACGUGGGGUUAGAAAGUGACCAUACUCCUCUGUUAAGUUUGAAAAUAUGCAUUUGAAAAGAAUUUUGAAAAGAAAAAAAAAAAAAGUUAUGAAAGCAAGGUUAUCAGAAGGAUGCCUUGUUAAUUUUACUGUAAAUUCAGUCCUCGUAUUCAUCGGAGAUAAAAGCCUUUUUAGGUUAUAAUUUUACCUCCAAAUACAUUAAUAUUUGCUACCUCGUAGUGUGAUUGGGGGUCAACCAAAGAAUAGGAAUCAUGGGGAAUUUUGUGCCACACAUUUAUGUACGAAACUAAUAAAUGUAGCUCCCAAUUCGGGUGUAUACAUUUAUCAUUUCCAAGGUCUAGAUUAGCAUGCCUACCAAACAGUCUUUUCUUCAUUUUUGUGCAUUUUUCAAGGAAAUUGAUUUUUAUAUAAAAAUAAACAAGGUUGUGAAAUGAAAGUUCUUUUUGUAUAGCUUCUUGUGUUUAAUUUUAAGGGGAAGUUACACCUAAAACUAAUAUCAUAAUUUUUAAAGAAUAAUAUUGAUAUUAUAUAGUUUUAUUAAAUGUAAACCUUUUAACAUAAAUUAAAAUAAAGGUAAUGUGAAAAGUAAUAUUUUCUUAAUUUUCAUAUUUAAUUUUUUAAAAAUUAUAAAUUCCUUUAACAAAAUAAACCCAAUAAGUAUAAAAGUUCUUAUUGAGUUUAAAAAAAUAACUUAAAAAAGAUCAUCAAUUAAAAUUUCAUGUUUUGAUUCUUUUCAAUAGACAAGUUGAGACAUGUAAAAUUGAAUGCAUUAGCACGCUCUCAGCAAGUAAAGUAACAGAAUUUUCAUUAACUUCCUACUAUUUUUGAAACAAAUCUAAAUACCAUUUACUUCAAACAAAAACCAAGUUAAAAAUUAUCUAACAAUUUCAAAGAUUACACAAACAAAUUUUAGCUCAAAUUAUCUACUAAUCCACUUAUCAAAACAAAGUUAUUUUCUUAGUCAAGAUAAAUAUGGAAAAAUUAACUAAUAAAGAAAUAGAAAGAAUAAAGCAAUGACACCAAGAUUUAACAUAGAAGAUCUUUAAAGAAAUUAAAAACCAUGGAUCUAUAAAUGAUAAAAAAAACAUCCACUAUAAAUAGUAACAACUGUUAUAAGAUUUUACCUAACUCAAGUCCGUCAAUCCUUCUUGAAUCACUUGACUGAUACUUUUCCACUUCAUUUAUCUGUUUUUUUUUCCUUUCAAAACAUACUUAAAGUCCACAUUAAAUUUAAUCUUGACCUCUUCUUAAGUUCACACAAGACGAAAAUAGGAUUUACUUCAACCCAAUAACCCUAAAGAGAGAAUGGAUGAAAGAACCAAAAGAAUUAGUCCAUACUUUAAAAAAACCUCAAUCAAAAAUUGUUGUAAACUUCAAAAUGGAUAGGAGUUUCUUGGGAAACAAACACACUCAUACUCAGAAUGGGAGAGGAGUACAAUGGUUGUGUGUGACAACUAUUGGAGCCUCAACCCUAAAAUGAAGGUUUUGGAUUUAAAUAGGAAGGAAAACCUUAAUCUAAUGACUAAAAAAUAAUACAACAGUAGAUAGAUUGAUCCUGGAUCAAUCUUGGAACAAAGCACAAAAAUACGUAGUUAAAAAAAAACACAAAAGCUACCCAAGUCUCCUAAAACUUCUUUAAAGGAUUUUCACUAUUUUGAAAAUCCCGAUUGAUUUAAUUUUGCCCCUCCACUACCUUAACUACAUACCUUAGUCUCUAAAUACCUUCAACGCCUCAAAGUUCUUUAUUAGACAAAUAAUCGGAGGAAGGAUUUGAUAGACCCAAAUUAAGAGACCGCUCGUGAGCUCUUAGUUGCCCGAAAUUGCCAACUACGACACUCACAAUGGGGCACAACCACUUAGACUCACAACCCCACCUCAUUCCCAUGGCUGGCAGCAUAAUGCACUUAGAUUGCGCGCUCUCUACCACCAAAGCUUGUAGCAUUUUGUUACAUAAAUAUACUGAGCAACAGAGAAGGUAAUUGUUUUGAACUGCUUGGCAAAUUUGUUCUUUGAUAUUGGGUACAAAUGUCUCUUGUUUUUUAAAAAUUUAUAAAAAUAAUGCUAUUAAAUCUGUCAAUAAAAAAACAUUUGAUGGGUUGCUUCUAAAUAAAUGCGGAGCAACGUAAUACUUUUAGUUUUAUGACGUGAAGGCAUAUUAUCUGUCAAGGAAAUCCUACAAUACUCUGAUCAAUUUCGAAAGCAGGACUUCCACAAAGAGCUAACCGAUUUAUUUGCCUUUCUUUUCUCUCACUGCCACAUUGCUGAAUAAAUUAAAGCUUUGGAAAUGAAUAUUCAAUCAUAUAAGGCCUAUCAGGUUAGAUUGGACUUAGAACCAAUACAGCGCAAUGGGGUCUAAACCCAAUCUAAAACACUCAGAGAUCUGGAGUUUAUGGUUGAGUAAGCCCUGUUAUCAUUGGAAUUAACACACGUGAUUCAUUUUCUUCAAGCAGGAUCAACUGUUUGGCUCCUUUCCCAUUCAUCUCAGUUUCAGAUCAUAAUCAUUCCUCAUCUUAAAGAACUGCUUCUCUAUCCUAACCAUACGAGGUGUUUAUUUUGGGUUACUUGUCUGAUAUUUUUUAACUUAGAACAAUUCCUUAGUUUUGAUCAAGGAGUUGGACGUCAAUUUUUCUCACAAACGAAAACCAGCCAGAGAAAGAAAAACACAGAUCCGGGCACGGUAAAGAAGUAUCAGAGCAUUAAGCUAAGCAAUUGCAUACCCUCACACUUGCUCCUAUAGAAACAACCAAAGCUCACAGCAUUUUCAUCAGCAUCCAAACGUCUAAGCCUGCAUUUCUCUUUCGGUGCUAAAAGUUUUUGGGCAGAACAGCCAGUCACUCAUGAUGGCCAGUUCUAGAGCGCUUGAGUUGGCAGGGGCAAUGAUGUUUAUCUGCAUGGCGGUGGUUGCAGCACUGGCAGCUGAAUAAGCCCUAAUAUGUUAUCAGAUGAACAACACCUUCACCAAUGCAGUUCUUUCCUGAGGAACGGUGGUUCAGUCACAGCAGAAUGCUGCCAAGAAGUUAGGACCCUCAACAAUGGAGUUAAGAACACCAAAGACCGCCAGACCACCUGUGUGCUUGAAGAAGGGCGAUAUCCUCCAUUUAUGGAAUCAAAUUGAACUACCUCUCUGAGCUUCCAGGCAAAUGUGAAGUCAGCGUUCCAUACAAGAUUGACCCCUCCAUUGAAUGCCUGCAGGUAUUCAGGGCUCAUGGCUCUGUCUUCUGAGCAGUUGAGCAUUACUUUAAAAUUGAUGAUUUUUACUAUUGUUUUGUCAUUGUGUUGCAGGGUGAAGUAAGGUUGACAAGUUAACAUAUAUGGCACUCAGGAUAUAGUAGAUUGAGACAAAGAUGGACGGAGAGAGACCUAACGGGGACUCCUCUUCAUCCCAGAAAAAAAAAAAGAAAAAAGAAAAAAAGAGAAUGCCCAAAUAUUGCAUCUUUUGCACUACAAAUGUACUGGAUUUGCAUUCUAAUAAAAUAUAUCGUGCCUCAAGCACUUUUAAGUGUACUGGAUCUGGAUUGAAUGUGGUAAACUGUUCCAAUUGUAAUAUUAUCUGGAAUAUACUCAAAGACCACCAACAAAUCACAUCCAAAAAGAUGCAGACAGGUGAAAAUGAGUCAAGGGAUUUUUUUUCCUGUUCUUUUUGCCCCUCUUUUUCAUGACUACAGGCUUCUGAACCCUAGUCCUUGAGACACAGGACUAAUCUCAAUCAGGUAAUCACCCACAAACCCAAGAGAAGAAUUUCUCAUUUGCAUGGCAGGGCCAUGGUUUUUGGUUUAGAAGAUCAACUUAGCCAUCUAAAAGGAAGUAUAGAUUAGCUCAGGUAAUGUGUGGUAAAUAGCAGUUGACAAAUAGACAAACAAAAUCUAGAGAAGAUAAGGGAUUCUAGUUUCAGAGCUGAUUUUGCAAGUUUGCUAAUAGUGCUUAUAAGCUCAAGAAAUAUAAUAAUAUUAAUAUUUGAUCAUCCAAAAAGAACCUAGUGAAUUAUAAGAUGAUAAGAAGUUCAUGGGCAUCUAGCACAAAGAAAAAAAGAAGAAAUAAUAAUGGAGCACCAGUGCAGCACCAUACCUCUUCUUUAAAUUAAGCAUUGAAAUGGGAACCCUGCAAGAAAAGAACUUGCGACUCAUCAUACAACUAAAAAUAAGAAAUGGGAUUGGAGCUUCUCUUUUUGGAUUCAUACCUGCCAGAAAUUUAUUGACUAGAAUUUGUCCUUACAGGAUGUUUUACUCUUUCUAAAUCAGUCACUGUGCUCAAUUGUAAACAAAGUGCUCCACAGCAGGUUGUGGCUCUCGCAAGCAUGAAGCGAAUGCAGAGCUGAGAUAUUGUUGAUUAUCAUUCAACACAAAAGCUCAUGGCUUAAAUAAAACAUCUUUCAGGAAACUGUGUAUGUGUAUAUGAUUAUAUACAAAGGCAUUACUAAUUGUCAGCAAUUGGAAAUAUGGGAAGAAAUAGUUCUAAUGCUAAAAGAAAAGGAUAAGGUGCAUUUAAUUGGAUAUCAAUACAUUAUUUUACCUUUUGAUGGUAGUCUACAUUUCUCCUGUGGCAUUUACAUCUUCAUCAAGUAGAAGUCUCUCUAGCCGAGACACAAGGUUAUUUGAGGAGAAGCUUAAAAGUUCAUUAUCUCUUCUCAGGUCAUUCACUUCCUUAUUUAAAUCUACAAUCUGCCCUUCAAGCUGCUGGCUUGAUAAAAGCUGGUCUCCUAAUAUAUUAUUUUCUCUUCUCAGUUUGUCUAUCUCUUCCAUUAACUUCAUAUUUUGCUCUUCUAAUAACUGAUAUCUUGUUCUCAAGUCAUCCUCCUGAAACACGUAUUUCAAAUAAAUAACUGAUGGGAUGAAAAACAAAUAAAAAAAAGGCAAGAAAUAAAGAUAUACAUACAACACUAAUGGUAAAAUUCAUGGAAGAAUUCUUUGAGGUUGAUGGAUGCUGCAUUUGCUCUUUUGGUUCCUCUGAAACACAACAAGAUGCAGAUGGGCAUCCUGUUGCAUCUGUUAACACUUCUACUACAUUUUCUGGUGCCCUCAAAUGCUCCAGAUUGUUUUCUUGUAUCCUGUGCCCUUCUCUGACUAUUUCCCUUUCUGACCCAUUUUCAACUGCUUGUUUAUCCAUCAAGUGAGAUCUGAUUCUCAAGUUAUCAUCCUGUUAAAUGAAAGAAGUUCUGUCACAAAAACUCAAUAAAAUACUUCAAACAAGCAAGAAGAAUGUUUACAUUGGCAAGAGAAGCCCCCUCCUUUCUUACAUUUUCUUUUAAAAGAAAUAAAACUAAGGAAAAGAACUCACAUCAACAGUCAACAUAAUAGAUGAAGGAUAUUCAGGUUUAGAAACAUCCGUCCUGUCAUUUUGUGCAGCUAUUAACUCUUUGAUUAUAUCAAUUUCUAACUCCUCAGAAGUCAGUUGAAGUUCCCAAGUUAUCUGAUAACAAACAGAAGUUGUCAGCACCUACCUAACAAAAUUAAAACAAACAGCAGUUCAGUUGGAUACAUCAUGAGCUACCAUAUCAAAUGGGUGUCAUGUUAGAACACUAUGGCUAACUCAGUUAAAAGUUUUUGAGGUCUAAAAACAAGCAAAACACUUUUUUGUUGUUUCAAUCAAUAUGCAUAUGCAGGAGACCACAGGACCUAUACUACCACUACAUAAAUUAAUUGUGAAUAUAAAAUCAGUUUAGAUAGGUCUCAUUGCCUGAUUUUCCUGCAGUUCCUUAAACUUUGUAGUGAUCCAUUUUCUUUGAUGUGACCUACAAUUUUCCCAUCGGCAUGCACGGGGAAACGUCAAGUAGCAAUCUAGCAAACUAGGCCGGGCAAUGUCAAUAUGCUCAUAAGACCAUAUCUGUUCAGAACAAUAUAACCAAGGUCAAUAUUGUAAUGAUGCAUAAUAGUUACUUAAAAGAUAAAACAGCCCUUAUAAAUUUUUGCAUUAUACUUGGGCACACCUUAAAUCCUCUGGCACCAAUUCCCCAUGCUGUUUUGCAUAAAUAAUCAAGCAAAACACUGUGCUCCCUACUCAGCCUCUCUUGUGCUUUUAUUUCGCAAAAAUUUUAGGAAGAAAGAGAGAAGAUGGAGGGAGGAAAGAGUGUUGAGGUUGUGUAUGUAAUGUCAUAAAAAAGAUGCUCCAAAUAUUUAUGUGAAGACUAUAGGGAUAGCUCCUUGACUAAACAAGAAACAUAUGACAGAGAAUCAAGAAAUAUUAGAGAUAGAGUUGAAGAAACUUACUUGGAGAAAUAUAAGACAACUUCCUACAUAUUGUACAUUCAUUUCCUUUUUUUUGGACAACCACUUAAUUAUGUCCUCUAGAACAGCUGCACCCCAGGCCAGUUGAUGCACAUUAUCCAAGUCUUUGAGAACAGAAAGAUAUCGGGAAUCUACUUUUCCAUUUGCAUUUGGAAAAAGAAAUGUCCCAAAUGUAAAUAAUAAAAAAGCUCUGGCAAAAUCAUCAUUAGCUAUCUCACCAAUGGACUCAAGUUUAUUCUCAAUCGACGAAACCAUGAUUUUCCUAUUUGAAAUAGUAGCACCAUAUUCUUUUUCUAAAUCUGAAAAAGGUUCAUCUUCCUUUAAGACUACGGAAUCACCCAUUACACGUAGUCCCAGAAUGAGUGCAACAUCCAUGAGAGUAAUUGUAAUCUCCCCAGGAAGAAGUAUGAAAGCAUGCUUCUCACAACUCCACCUUUCCAUUAAUUCAACUAAAAGAUUCUUGUUAAGUGUCUGAAUAGGCAUCUCAAGGAGAUGCCCAAAUCCCAUCUUCUUUAUUGCAUUUCUUUGAUCAUCUGUUAGUUUCUCCACUCGCCUGACAAAUGAUGGCAAGGAAAACCUGGUACUGAAAUUCCCAACCUGCAUGCAUAUAUUAAGUGCACAUUUUUAUUGACAUAAGUGUGUGUUUUCCAUAAUCCUGCAUAUGUCAAUUAUAUGUGUGCUUUAUCUAAGGUUUUAUGUAUGUCACAAAACUAAAAAAGCAUAAGUUAAAAAUUUUUUCUCAUUGCCACUUGUCUUUUAGAGAAGUUCUAUUUACCUACCACCAAUUCUGUUUUUCUUUUUCUGAGUUUGUUUUUUCACUCUAUAACCAAAAUUCUCUUUCAGAUGUCAUCCACAAGUUCAAAAACACUGAAUAAACCAAAUCAACCAAACACUUUGUCCUAUCCUUAGUAACCAUGUCAUUCAAGCUUGAAAGAAGUAGAUAGCUUAGGAUACUGAGUUAUAUUCCAAAACACUUUGUCUAUUUACCCUUGUUGUAUUGAUCAUUUUUGCAUCUUAAGUAAUGAUAGCUUAGAUAGAAUCAGUAUUGAUUAAUACAAGACAAUCCAAUCAAAUACGCAAAAGACAACAUCCAACAAAGCUGAACAGCAAAAGAGGAUGCUUGUUUAGUGCAUAUUGUGAUAAUAUAUUAACAGAAGAGUGUGAGAUGGACAAGUGGAAAGAACCGAGGAAGUUAAGACAAAUAUCAAAUGCAUUUAAGAAGCAUCAAAACCAACACUGCUUGUGCUUUUAAAGUAUAUGAAGUUUGAUCACUAUGUUUUGAAAUGUUAUAUAUCCUUUCAAAAGUUUCACUCUUUUAUACAAAAGUAGACAGGUGAGAACCUCUUCAGAAAAUUUCAGCAAGCCAGAAGGGAGCAGGUUGCAAGUGCAAGACAGAGGUACUAGAGGGGCAGUAUGAAGCUAGGAAAUUGAUGACAUUCAGUAGAAAAACCUGCUAUGCUGAUGACCAAUUGGUGAGAUGAUGAAAAUUAUCUCAUCAAACACAAAUUCUUGACAAUGCAGAAAAUAGAACCAUGCAUAUAAAGGUAUAAUGCUGUUGAAUGAAUGAGUGUUGCAAAUGUUUUGCUUGAGUUUGGUUGUUUGAUUCCCAGAAAGUAUUAAGAAAAUUUUAAAAAAAAUAUUAAGGAAAAUGAUUUAUGCACAUUUUGUUUCACUAUGAAAAAUAGUGCAAGAAAAUCAAACACAAUUAAAAUUAGUUAAAAAAUAAUGCAUUUUCCCUCAAAUUUUCCGGAACCAAGAAUGGCUUAAGGUAUAUAAUUUCCAAGUCUUUGUUUACUGCUACUAUAGAACUAUAUUCCCUUCAAUUUUUUUUUAUUUUUUAAGUUUCAAUUGAAAAGAAUUCUACUUUAGGGUUAUGAACGUUCAAUAGGUCUUCUACAGCAAUUUUGUUGUUAGGUCAUGGCAAAAAUACAUGCUUUUUAUAAAAAUAAAAAUAUGGGGAAGACUAGGUACCAUGAGACCAUCCUGAAGUGCCAAUUCAUGACACCCAGGAUUCAAGUCCCUGUAUGGCCACUUCCACAAACUCAUCCCUUCCAGAAUCCCAGAAACAGGGCCACGAAGCAAUGGAUUUUAUGAGCCUUUCAAUCACAAAAAAUGCACUCAGAUCACAAUUUGCUCAAACAAAAAUUGAUACUCUCCACAUGUGUUUCUACGAAUCGCUACUCCCACAGACACAAAAUGACUAAUUUCUGUAAUUUCCAGGUCCAGGUCUCCACAUCAGCCAAGUGAAAUUUCUAAAUUUUUUUCCCAAAUUGAUAUCACAAAAUUUUAAAAAAUAAAAUAAAAUAAAAUAAAGAAAAGGGGGAAAGAAAGAACGAAAUACUUACCGAGCUCCGUUCUUCUUCUAAUCCUAUGGAAGAUUUCCUCGUCGCUCUCUUCAUCUCAACCCAAUCCUUUCACACUCCUACUGUGAACCCUAACUUUCUCAGGGCUUGAGAAGGAAAAGAACAACCAUUUGAAAAUCUUAAUAAAUCUUACUCGGAUAAUUUUUAUUUUUUUAUUUUAUUUUUGUGAAACUUGUGAUGGAAGCUUACAGGCAAAGUUAAAACUAAAAAGGGCGCGAAAAAAUGGCGGGACAUGAUUAGGUGCUUUGCGUUCACAUACGUGGCUUCUGGUGAUUGCAGUGCAGGUAAAAAUUUCGCUGACAAGGUUACCAUCCGUAAUUGGAUUUUGUGGUCCUUGUUGGAAGCUUUGAUUGAUUUUAAAUUUUAAAAUGAAAUUUUCAUGAUAAAUUUAAAAUGUAAAUUUUUUUUUUUUUACCACAAAUAAUAAAUAUUAAAAUUAGAUUUUUUUUUCCAUUUUUGGAUUCUUAAAGACAUUUUCUGUAAAUAAUAUUUUUUGAGUUUCAUUAAUAAUAUUAAAAAAUGUAUAUGCUUAGCGGUGUAAAAAAAUAUACAUAUUAAGUUCCCAAAAAGUAAAAGAUUGUAUUUUAAAAUCACUUUAUUGUUAUUAAUGAUAAUUAAUAAAGAUGAUUCACAAAAACAUGCUAUCAAAUAAUACAAUAUCUUAGAUUUGUCAUAUGUUUUGUGCCAAAAAAAUGUGUCUGAAAGUCCCAAAAAAAGGGUAAAAAAUGAAUUUUAAAAGCAUUUUCUUAUCAUUAACAAUAAUUAAUAAAAAUAAUACCACAAAAACAUGCUAUCAAAUAAUACAUUAUCUAGAUUUAGACAUAUCUCGAUAUUAGUGGUGAUGAUGUGCUUACAAUAUGGUUAAAAAUCCCAUAGAGGUGUACCCUACAUCUACAAUCUAAAAGUCCUCGUUCAAGACCUGGAGAAAGAAAAAGAAAUAAUAGCAUGUGUGUCUACGCAUAUGCACAUUUGUACUGUAAUGCCCGGCUAAAAUCAUAAUUUAGAAAUUAUUAAUUAAUUAAAAUAAUUUAAUAAGGGUAAAAAAGCAUUUUCGUAUUUAAAACACCUAUAUAUAUAUAUAUAUAUAUAUAUAUAUAUAUAUAUAUAUAUAUAUAUAUUAUAUCUUUCCUAUAUUUUCUAUUCAAAAAAUCCUUUUACACAUAGAUCAAAAAAAUCAGAGAGCAUAGGGUUGAAGGUUUGAAGGUUUAGGGUUUGAAGAUCAAUUUUUCAGGUAAGAUUUUUAAUCUUUAAAUUAAUAUUUUAUAUUCGUUAACUAGUUAUAAACACUUUAGAUAUUCUUUGAAAUAUCUUAAUUUUGAUUAGAGUUCAUUUAAUUAAUUUAUAGGUCAAAAAGAUUAAAAAUUUAUUAACAUAGUUUGAUUUAUUAAUGAAGAUCAAUAAAUUUUGAUUACUCAAAUGAAUAGAUUUAGAAAAAAAAAUUAAAAAAAUUAUAUAGUUUUGGAUGUGAAAAUUACAUAAAAUUGUGAGUAUAGAGGUUAAAAGUUUUGACUUUAGAGAGUGGAAAAAAAUGAUGAAAGAAGCGUAGGAAGGAUUUGACGUGUUGAAAAAAAAAAAAAAAGAAUUGCAUGAGGGAUUUGUUAAGUUUAAGUAGGAGAUUUAAAUAAUAGUAAUAAUAAUUUAAUGCAAAUAAAUAUUCUUAAAAGAUUUAUUUUAGAUAAGUUAGAAAAAAUGAAAUAAAUUAUUGUUUAGGAAGUUGAAAAUAAUAUUGGAUGGUAAUAAUAUUAAUAUGGGAAAUUAAUUAAGAUACCUAAUACUAAAUAAAAUAUUUUUGAGAUUGUCAAACUUACAUAUUUAGAUAAAUAAUCAAUAAUCAAUAUUGUGUAUGAUAUUAUGUUAGGUGAGGAGAAAAUUAUUCAGAGUUAAAUACUUCAAGAUUUUGAGUGCUUUUUCAAGGUAAUGGAAAUUAAUGUUAAAAAAAAUAAUUUUCUUUUUAUAUUGUAUUAUGAAAAGUGUAAAAAUAUUAUUUUUAUCUUUUUGUAUGGAUCAAAUAUGUGUUUUGUAUGGAAAGUAUAUUUGAGAAUCUUCUUUAUUUAUUUAUGAAAAGCGAAAAUUUUUUGAGAUAUGAUAUUUUGUUUUGCAAGUUUGAAUUAAUGAAAUAAGAGAAAAAAUUUGGAGAUAUGAUAUUUUGUUCUGCAUGUUUGAAUUAAUGAAAUAAAGUGUUUAACUCUAGUUCCUAUGGCCCUAGUCAACGGGUUAUAAUUGUUGACAUUUCUAUGGCCCUAAUCAACGGGUUAUAAUAGUUGAUAUUAUAUGACCCUAGUCAAUGGGUUAUAAUAGUUGACCUUAUAGCCCCUAGUCAACAGGUUAUAAUUGUUGACUUUUGGUGUUAUUCACCUUAAAUAGAACAAAUUUGAAACUAGUCACUUAUUUGUGAAGUCCCACCUAAUUGGGCACCAUUUGUUAUUUAAUAAUCAGAGUAAGAUAUUUUGAAUGCAUUUGAUUUGGUUUUGAUGAGAAAUUGUUUUGAAAUGGAUAUGAGAAAGUUUGUUGAAAAGUUUGAAUAUAUUAGUAUUUCGAACUCAAAAGUUUUUAUGAAAAUAAGUAUAUGUUAUAUCUCCUAUUUGCAAAUAUGAUUAAAAAUAUUUAAUCCAUGAAACUGCAUUGAUGUUCCUUAUUGAGUUUUAAGUUUAUGCCCCUUCGUUGAUAAUUUUUCAAGUACUUUUAGUUCGGGCGAGGAGUGAUGGCUAGGCUUAGGAAUUUUUCUUUGUUAGGUCUUUGGUUCAAACUUUUUUUUUGGACAUUGUUUAGAUCUUAAAAUUUAUUUUCCAUUUAAAUUAUUUGAAUUUGGAGUUAUUUGGACAAUAACACUCUGGUUGAUGUGUUAGUUUUUUUUAAGUUGAUACUUGGAGAUUUUAGAAUUUUGUUCUACUACUCUGAACAGGAAUUUGGUAAUUGGUAAAUUUCCAAUUACAAUACGAAUGUUUGUGUCGUUUCCACUUUGAGUCAUUGGGUUUGAGGUGUGAAAUGACCGUCAUAACCUUGUAGUGGGUUUUGGGGCGUGACAUGUACAUAGAUCUUCCAUUUAUUUUAAAUCUAGAGAAGAAAAGAGCCCUAUUUUUAAUAAAACACUUAGGGGGAAAGCUCGAUUGAUUAAGCCUAAACUAACAUCCCUUGUAUUUACUCCAUCAUAAUACAAACUAGAUAAAUCAAAUGAACCUAAUCACAAUUUAUUUUGUUUAAGUAGCCUAACAAUGGACUUAUAUGUUGUUAGUCCAAUGGUUUUCCUAAUCACAUUUUAAUGAUAACAAGCCAUGAUCACUAUACUAGUAAUUUAAAAUCAAGAUGAGUUUCAAGUUUUAUUUUGAGAAAUUCAAAUAAAAAUUCAAGAUAAUCAUCAAAGAAUCAAAGAAGUGCAAGUCCAAGGGUGCAUGAAGACUGUUCAAGCCUAGGAAUUCUUUGUAAGAUGAAUAAAUGGGUGCACUUAGGAUUUUCAUAUAAAAUCAUGCAUUUUUCAAUACUUGAUUUUUCAUUAAAACCCGAGUAUUCUCACAUGAUCCUUAGGCAAAUUAAUUUAAACUUGACUUACUAAAGUACCUAUAAACCUUGACUAAGUCUUAGAAGGAAAAAAAAAAUUAAAAAAUCUAAGUUUUUAGGUCAAAAUAGGUGAAUCAAAGAAAUUGCUCAUCAGGGAACCAAUCGAUCAAUUAAGCCUUCCUAGUAGAGGACCAACUGAGGAAUGCAAAAAAAAUUUCUCUCUCAUUCAAUAGUUAUGCAGUCCUAGUUGAUAGGAACCUUUCUCGGUCAAGGGAAAGCUCUUUCUAAUUGAGGUUUGGUCUAGGGUCCAAUAAUCACUUGUUGUGCAUUUGGUGCACAACAGUUAGUCAACUGAUUGAAUUAGAGCUCGACUAGACGAGGCUAGGUUAUGCCACUUUUGGUGUCCAAGCUAGAAACCUAUAAAUUGAGAGUUUCAUUUCAUUUACUACAUAGAAAACGUCUGUAAUUAUCUUCACAGCUACUUGUUUCUCAUUAAAAGUUUUUUCAUACUUUGUGCAUUGAUUCUUCAUUUGCAAACCACCUUAGCACCUUUGUCAUUCAUCCUAGCUUUCUUUUGUAUUUGUUCAUUUAUUAAGUUAGGGUAAUAUCUUAUUUCAUUGAUUAUUAAAGAGAGGUUGCGAGUAUUUAAAGUUUUAAGUUGAGGUAUACUUGAAGGGAUAUUGUUGCUAGGAACCCUAGAUUUAUCCAUUCCUUUACCCUGAAUUGUAUAGGUGCAUGCAAAACUACCAUAGGUCGCUAGAUCCUAUACAAGGAAAGCAAAAAAUAGAUUUUUACAAUUCUAGGAUCAAGAGGAAAGCCAUUAGAGAAAUUUACCUUUGAUUUGGAUGUUCCUAAAUCAAUUCCGCUUGGUGAAGAUGAAGAAUAAUGAAUCUAAAAGUCUCGUACACCCAAGAUCUUUCUCCUUAUGACUCGAACCAUGAUCCCAACACCCCAAAAUGUGGACUUUGGAAAUGAUGAUCUCUUGGCUCUCACUAUCUCUCUUUUUUUUUUGAGGUGGAAGACACUGUUUAUCUUAAAGUUGUGGAAACCCUAGCCCCUAUGGGGUAUUUAUAAGGUUCCCCUAUUGGGCUCACUAAUUUGAACUCACCAAGGCUUAGGUUACUUAAUUUAACCCAAAAUUGGUCUUAAUUGAUUAAUUAACCAUAUAAGGUCAUCUAAUUUAUCAAUUAGUCCAAUCCAGAGAACUUAUUCAGUAUCUCUUAUGCAACCUUGUGUAAUCACCAAAACACCCUUAUGCACAAGAAUGAACCAAGAGUCAAUUCAUCUUUCAUAAAUCAUGUCAUUAUGGUAUAUGAGCUUAAAGUGGAGACCAUUGGGACCCAUAGAAGUACUAUCUCUUUCAAAAUCCAAUUUUGAAAUUUAUUCAACAUUCCACCAAAGAGAAUCAAUUGCACUUCAGUAUCUUAAGUAAUUAAAAACAAGAAGAAGCUCGGGGUCCAUGACCUAUUAUACACCAUAUGCAAAUUUAUCAUGAAUUGAUGUUCGUAAUCUAACAAGGUAGUGCUAUCAUCUAUUAAGAUUAUCUCUUCAAUUAUUGAGUUAUAAAUUCCAUUUAUUAUGUGAUCAAUUGAGAUAUUAUAACUCUAAAGAGCAUAUAUCAAAUUUCCACUAAAUGAAAUGUUAUGACCAUAGUUUUCUAGAUCACAUGUCCUUUGAAUCACCCAAUGAGACACAUUGUCUCAAUCCAUGAGAUAUCAUGGUGUCUUUAUUGAGACUACCUAUUACCACCAACCUCCAUCAAAAGUGGCUCAAUCCAUAGGGAUAUAUAACCACUUUAGGAUCUCACUCAUAGGUUAAAACCUCUUGUUAACUUUGGCGCAUGCUCAAUAUCCUCUUAAGGUUGAGAGUUAAUGCAGUAUAGUAGUCUGGUGAAUCAUGAAAAUUGAUAGCCUUAUGUCAUGAUUCACCGUAGGUCCAAUCCAAUGCUCAUCAUAUGCGCUAGUACACUCAUUAUAGGAAAAUCAUCCUGACAACCAAGACAAAUUAUCCCACUAAUUAUGAGGUAGUAUACUACAGUCUCAGAUGGAUAGCCCAAAUCCAUGAACCUACUAUGAACAACUCAUCACUCUACAAGGAAUCCAUGACUUGAAUCUUCUGUGCAACUCCUAAUGCACCCAAGUCAUGUACAAUGUAAGUGAUGUAAGGUGUGUAUGUUCAAAUAACCUAUUAAUACAAAUGAGAUAUUUAAGGGAAACUAAGAAACAUAAAUAAAUAAAUUUAUAAAUGAAUUUCAAUCUGUUACAUCAUAUCAUGCUUUCCAAUGCUCAAUCCCAACAAUUGUAAUGUCCAUUGGAGCCAGAAACCAAGUGUAGAGCAUUGGAACCUUUGAAGCUUGAGGAGAGUGAACGUAUAUAAGAAGUAUCGAACCACUAUAAAAACUAUGUUUGCUUUCACUAUAGAUCUCUUUAUUUAUUCCUUUUUAAUUUGUUUAAAUUUGGUAUGUUUGGAAAAGAUUUUUAAAAACUCAAUUCACAUCAUCUUGGGUGAUUUUCUUAAUUGAUUAGCCUUAAAUCCACGUAUGUAAAUAAUAUUUUUUUUCAUUAUUGUUUGUGUUUCACAUAACUUUAUUAUUUAAUAAUGAUUUUUUUUCUUCAUGUAGGAAGGAGAUCAUAUUAUUAUCACCACUAGGAGUUGUUUAUGCUAAAGACACUAUAACUCAAAGCUUUUCUUCCAAUUUAUUAAUAUUUCAACAUUUGAUGUAUUGGGCAAUCAAGUUAAAUACUUUAAAAUUUUCAUGCUAUUUCUAUUUAUAUUUCAAACUAUAUAUAUUAUUGACAUAUAAAAAAUAGUUAAUUAAAGUUUAGAUGUAUAAUCAUAGUGAACAAAAUAAGUGUAGCAAAAAUCACAUGCACUUGCCAAUCACCCCCUCAAACUUUAAAUCUUACGUCCACCAUUCUCUUCAGGUUUUGGGCUAGUCAAAACAUGUCCUAAAUUCACUAUAGAAAUUGCAAAAAAUAUCAUUUCCUACCAUCUAUUAAAGAAUGUUUCAUUAAAAGAAUCGAUUUUAGAGGUAUCGGGACGAGUGUGAACUACGGAAGUUUUUUUUAACAAAAAAUAAAAUAAAAAUUGAUAUACUUUUAAGAUUAUUGAAAAAAUUAGGUCUAAAAAAAUUAUGCUAAACUAAAAUUAACCAAGCGCAAACAAAUAGGAAAAUAAAUUCUAAUUAGGGUAUCCAUCAUAUUUGCCUUAGGUGUGACAAACAUUAUCUUUAAAGUAGAUCUACACUCCUCGAGUAUCAAACUCGGUGCAAUAGAGAACUAACGUCUUACUUUCAUAAUUCAAUAACCAAAAUCCUUGCUUUAGGUGCACACCUUUAGCAAGGAAUAAUACAGCUCAAUCUUAUAGAAAUUCUUCUAAAUGAAAAGUUGAAAAUAUUGGAAUUAGGGUACAACAACGUUCAAGUAUUACAAUAGAGUAUGGUACUACACUAACAAAAGGAGACGUAGUGCUGAAAAAUGGCUACAGUAGAUAGUAGAUGUAAUAACGAUAGACAAUAUAACGAUAAUUUGGUUACUAGUUGUAGUCAAGGUUUGAAAUAUCAAUAAACACGAAUAUAUCGGUACUUGAAUUUUACGGAUAUAUUAAAAAUAUUGGUGGAUAUUUUGACAAAAAUAUCAAUGAGGCGAAAAUUAUUCAAAAUUUAUGAAAAUAUUUGGAAAAACUUCAAAAAAUAAUAAAAUUAAUUAAUUAAAAUAUGUAUGUUAAAAUUGUUUUCUAAGUGUAAUUAACAUAGAUAUGGUCAAAGAGAAAAAUAUUGGUAAGUAAGGAUAUAUUGGUCUUAAUAAUUUAUUAUUUACCUAAUAUAAUUAAAUUAAAUUUAUAAAAUAUUAGAACUUCAUUAUUAUUAUUAUUAUUAUUUAAUAUUUUAGUAUUUUAAAAUAAAUUUAUAUUUUUAAUAUUUUAAAAUAAAACAUUAAAAAUUAAAUAAAAUUAAAAGGAUAACUAUAAAAAAAUUUAAAAGUUAAGUGACGGUAUUUUUUUAAAAAUGGGAUUAAUGAGAUAAAUGAUGAUACAUUUAAUAUUAAAGCUAUAAUUUAUUUAAUUCAAAUGUAUUCAAUAAUGUAAAAUAAAUUAUGAUGUCUAUAUGAUUUUUUAAUUUUUAUAUUUUUAUAUUUAAUUAUCAUAUAAAUGAUAUUAAAAAAUACUUGUUAAGAAAAUUAUAAUGAUGGUUUUUAUACAUUUAUUAAUCAAUUAAAUAAAAUUUAAAUAAAAUAAUUAAAUUUUUUUUUUUUAAUAAUGAACUUUAACAUAUUUAUUAUUAACAUAUAUUAACAAAUGAGAACUUGGCCUAGUGGUAACCAGGCUUGAACUCAAUAAAAUUUGAAAUUUGAAGGGGCUUGACGUGUUGACCAUGUUUGACUUACCAAAAAAUCGGUAAAAAAAAAAAAACGUAGCCAAUUUAUAGAAGAAGGAUCCUAACAUUUUAAACCAUGGUUAUGAUGCAAAAGAAGUAGCUAAUUUAUAGGAGAAGGAGAUUACAGAGAGGAAAGGAGAAUGAAUAACUCUAAUGAGAAUGAGCCAAAUCAAUCUAAUAAAUUUCAAAUGUUAUAAAUGUUUAUAACAUUUAUUAAUCAAUUAAAUAAAAUUUAAAAUAAAAUGAUUAAAAUUAUUAUUAUUUUUUAAUAAUGAGCUUUAACAUAUUUAUUAUCAACAUAAAUUAACAAAUAAGAACUUGGCUUAAUAAUAACCAAGCUUGAACUCUAGAAAAUUUGAAAUUUGAAGGGGCUUGGCGUGUUGACCAUGUUUGACUUACCAAAAAAUCGAUAAAUGUCGAUGAAAUAUCGACGAUAUUUUAGCGAAAUAUCCAGACAUUCCAAACCAUGAUUACGAUGCAAAAGAAGUAGCCAAUUUGUAGGAGAGGGAGAUUACAGAGAGGAGAGGAGAAUGAAUAACUUUAAUGAGAAUGAGCCAAAUCAAUCUAAUAAAUUUCAAAUGUUAUAAAUGUGAGGGGCCCUCAUGUAGUAACCAAGCUUGAACUCAAGAAAAUUUGAAAUUUGAAGGGGCUUGAUGUGUUGACUGUGUUUGACUAACCAAAAAAUAAAAUAAAAAACAGAUAAAUGUCAAUGAAUAUCGAUGAUAUUUUAACGAAAUAUCCUGACAUUUCAAACCAUGAUUACGGUGCAAAAGAAGUAGUCAAUUUAUAGGAGAGAGAUAUUACAAAGAGGAGAGGAGAAUGAAUAACUCUAAUGAGAUGGAGCCAAAUCAAUCUAAUAAAUUUCAAAUGUCAUAAAUGUGAGGGCCCUCAUGUAGGAUGUGAGGGGCCCAAAUUCCCACUAUAAUGGGUUUGAGCCCCUUGGAUGUGCAAGGCUCCCACUCACCUCUCCACAAGCUCAUGAGGCUAAGUGAGGUAGAAUAUAUACCUAUAAAAGUACCUGUUCUUUUCCAAUAUGGGAUAGACACUUUUUAUAUUUUUUUUCAUUUUAAAGAACACUUAGACACAUUCUCUUCCAAAACUUGACACUAUAUAAAUGGUGAAAUCUUCAAAAUUGUGUGAACAAAUUUUAAAACUAUAAGAGUUUAUUACACUCAAAACAAACAAUAUCCAUAUGAAAAGGAUUGACUCAUUAUAAAUGGUAUAAAACUAUGUUCCCGACUUGGUAUAAGACUCUGUUGGAGUUGUAAGAAGCAUUUGUUUGUUUGAAUCCAUGAUCCCAUGGGAUAAGACAAGAAUGUCAUGUUUGCAUGAAAGGAAGAUUAUGAAAUAAAGUUAAUUUUAUUCACAUCUCUUGAGUAUUAAUUGAGUUAAAUACAUCUAGCUAUUAUUAAUUUGAAAUUUUAUCAAAUACUUCUCAUACCUUUUCUAUUUGUUAUUUUAAGGGGAUGUGAGUGAAAUUUACCUUUAGAAUAUAUUACAUUAGUUAAAAAGAAAAAGUUACCAAUACUAUAUAUGUAAUCAACUCAUCUUAACUUUAUAGAGAACUUUUGUAACCAUAAAACCUCUUAGCAGAAAAUGGGUGUUACCACCCGUGAUCAACAAAAGAAAAGGAAUAACAAUACUCUUUUUUGUUUACACUAAUAUCAAUAAAUAAAACCUCAUCCUAUAUCUAUAAAUAUAAUGGUAGAAUAAAAGGAAAGAGUACUCUAGUAUUGCCCUCUCCUUUACUCAUUGAUGCUUUAAUUUGGGAAAAGCCUUUCAAGAGUUGAAAACUUUUUCAGAAAAUUAAUGUUGAUGCAAAUUAUAGGCCAACAUCUAAAAAUCUCAUCCAUUGCCAUGAAAUUAUUUUGCACUCACUUUCUGAAACGAGCCCAUGACAUCCUGAAUCCUAUCCUUUAUAUGAGCAAGUCUCACAUGGGAAUUAUCCUCAUUUGUGGGCCAAUGGUUACAAAAGCAUAUCUGUUCACCACUCUACUGUGGUCUCCCAUGGCCCCCAACUCUGUAAAGCUUCUUGAAUUGGCUAAGCACAGAGGCCAUCGCUUGAUCAAUGCAGUGAAACCAUGUUUCACUGCUAUUUUACUAUACUACACCGAAGUGUUUUAAUGGCCAGCAACCAAGGCAGACCAUGACUGGUGGAGACUGGACAGCAGUUGAACCAUUUCCACCUAUUGGGUUGGUUGGGUCAAAACUCCCAUCGAAUGUUUGGUGACUCUUGGGCUUGACCCCAGCUCACCCAUCACCUAAGCUCAGAUAUUAGGUUAUCUUCUUCUGAUCCCAAUUGACAUUCACAUAAUAUAUAGAAAAAAUCAUAUUUUUUCCAACCCCCAACAGUUUCUCAUUCUAUCGUACCUAACUUCAUAAAUAAUCAAGUCCAGUACCCAUACGGCUGUGAUGAAAUCUGAAUGCAAAGGUGUUAACCAAGAAGGUCCAUGUGUUAGAUCUUGUCCAAUCAAGGGUCCACCCUCAAGGGACACAAGCUAAACCUACCAUAAUUAGCGGCUACACGUGCCACCGGUUCCACCGGCCAUUGCGGAUCGGGGCAUUUGCUGACCACAAGAUGGUCGAUCACUUGCUCACGUAUGAUAUGAGUGGCCCAGAAACAGACUUUAAGGUUUAGUCCCUCUCGGACUGGUGCAGAUCCAUUUAAAUCAGCACCGAUGUGUUUAGUAAAACUCUAUACAAAACAAGAUAAAAGUCCCUUUUCUAAUUUCCAAAUGAAAAGCGAAAUUAAUAUCACAUGAUCAACUUUUUAUAAACUUUUUUGUAAAAAAGUGAAAUGUUUCGUGUAACGCUUUGGGUGAAUGACAGUAACAUCAUGGAAAAGGGGAAACAUAAGUAGGGUUCACUUUGUGUGACCAUGCCUGCAGAGGGUAAAAGGGAAAAGAUGGAAAGAUUUUUUUUUUUUAUGGAUAGGUGUAUUUCUUUCACUUAAUUAUAGUUUUAUGAGCCUACCAUGACCUCAAAAGGUAUGUCCCAUCAAAUGAAACAAAGGCAGAUCAUAUCAUACAGGCAGACCAUCUAACCCAACGGUUGUGAUGAGUGGGGGAAUAGGUUUGAUAUUUACAAUUGUGAACUUGGGAUUUGGUACUGAGGAUUAUUAGGAUUUAUAAAGUUGCUGAUCAUGAUUAGGUGGGCAAAAAGGGAUCCCAAAUGUAUCUCGCUUUCACUAUGUAUCUUCUCGUUUGUGUCUUGUAUAUAUCUCUUGACCCCUUCAAAGCCUACAAUCAUCACUUCACAAGUCCUGUGCGCCACAAAGGUCAGUCCUCUGUAGUAUGUGGAUGUGGAUGAUAAGGAGAAGAGUAGAGGUCACCUGCAACUAGGAAUUAUGAAGCUCAGGUAAGGCUGUGAAAAGUUGUUUCUUGUUCCAAUUUCGAUCCUCUUUGUGGGUUUUCUUUUCCCCUUUUGCCUUCUUGUUGUUGGGUUUUGGUUCCAAGGAGAAACCAAGCUGGCUAGAGAGGACCAUCUCUGAUUGAGAAGCUGGAAUCGUGCAGCAAACGGUCCCUUAUUCGGAUAGCAAAUUACCAUUUCUUUUUCCCUUAUCCUAGAGACAAAGAAGAUGCUCUUUCUGUGUCCCUUUCUAGUUGGAAUCUCGACAACAUUACUGUAAGUCUGUAACUCGAAAGAACAGCCUUCGUCUUUUGCCAUAAUUGAAUCAAUAAGAGCGUAAGAGCAGAAAACAUAGGCCUGCACUUUUCCCUUUUUUUGCUUCUCUGCAGCUACUUCCUCUCUUGGGUAACUCCCUUUAAGUUUUCCAAGCCGUUAGUGGUUAGAUUAACCCUUCUGCUAUAGCCCCCCGAGUAAGCUCAGCUGGGUUUGUGAAGUUGUGGAGUGCGGAACCACUGAACCAAGCUAGAAAAUGGUGAAUCCGAUUCUUCAUCAUCUUCAUCAUCAUCAUCAUCGCCUCCUGCUCGAUACGCCGGAGCCGAGCACCAUGUCAAAUGGGAACAGUACUCAUGAGGCUUAUGUGAACGAGACCAACUUCGACACCAACAUGGUGAUCAUCCUAGCAGCCUUGCUAUGUGCUCUAAUAGGAGCACUUGGGCUCAACUCAAUCGUGCGCUGCGCCAUGCGCUGCAGCAGAAGGCUCUCCCCGGAGUCCCAGGGGCAAGCUGCUACUGGCCUCAAGAAGCGUGCUCUGCGCCAAAUUCCGGUAGCAGUUUAUGGGCCCGGAGUGGAGAUUCCGGCCACUGAAUGCCCAAUUUGCCUGGGCGAGUUUGUGCAGGGGGAGAAGGUUAGGGUGUUGCCCAAAUGCAAUCAUGGGUUCCAUGUGAGGUGCAUAGACACAUGGCUGGUGUCACACUCAUCCUGCCCAAAUUGUCGCCACUCAUUGCUUGAGCGCCCAACAACUUCAGACGCAGCUGGUGAGGUUGCCCCGGAACAGCCACAGCCAAAUGGGUCCACCCACCAAGGUAGCAUUGUCAUUGCUGUCCAUGAGACAAGUUAAUAAUGCUGGCCUUAAAAUUAAGCCUACUAGGCUACAUCUUUUGUUUCACCAGUACUGAACUACCCCAGAUUGCAAAUGCUAAAAGUUGUUUUUCAGAUGAUUCAAAAUCAUAGUAGACAUCAAACCAACAUGCUUCUGUUAUGGGCUUAUCCACAUUUCUCUUCAUUUCUAAACAAAUGGAUCAAUACUAGAGGAGAAGUUUCCGUGAUCUUUGUCCAUGUGCCUUACCAAAAUCCAAAGGUUUUUCAAUUGGGUGGUGCAUUAGACAAGCUUUCUUUUCUCCAUUUAAUAAUCUGUGUAACGGCCAAAACUGAUUUUGGCGAUGUAUUGGUGAGUGAAAGUGCCUGCAUACCACCCACUAAAGUGGGCUGAGAUUUCCAAAUUUCACAUACUCUGUUUGGUUGGGGAGAAAGUGGGUGAGAGAGAGGGAAAUUUUGGACUCUUUUCAACCGUAUGGGUUUGGAAUGGUUGAAAGGUUAUAAAAUCUGUUGCGUCUACGCUUCUUAGCAAUUAAUGGAGCAUUAAGGUCUCAACCUACAAUCGUUGAAAUAAAAAGAAAAAAGAAGAUAACUUCCUUGGGCUGGCUCAUCUUAGCUCUAACAUACUAAAAUCUCAUUUCAGAGCAAUGCCCCCAGUAAAUUUUCCUGCACCUCACACCUUCUGGGUAUGAGGUCCUCCAAUCAAUGACAUUAAUCAGUGGGCCAUCCACUAUCUACCUCAUUGAUUGAAUUGCUUCUAAAUCCUUCCUGUUCCUUCAACUGCAAAGGAAGCUUUGAAUUUUAACCAUCCACGGAACAUCAGAUAAUGACAGAUGGGGGGCUCGAUGAACUCUUUUGUUUCAUCUGCUCCUCCUUAGAUGACCCAUCAUUCCAUGCCAUAUCAUAAACUGUUUUAUUCCCAAAUAAACAACCCUUGUUGAUUAUAUCUUCUGAAAGAGCAAUCAAUCCAAUGGCAGUAGUUAGUACUUAAUCAGAACCAUCAAGUUGGACACCAUUUUUAAAGCUCUUUUUGACAGUUCCAGAAAAAGUAUUACAUAAUAUUUUAUCACCAAUCAGAGCACUUUGGUACGGAUUUUGCGUAUGAUAUUGAAGUUUUUGAACUAAACUUAGGAGUGAUGUAUUUUUUGACAAUACCUUUCAAGGAAAAAGUUCUAAAACUAUGGCCAUGAUUCCUAAAAAGAACUAAGAUUUUUUUCCAUAUUAAUUCCAUCAGUUAGAAACACAGCUUUGUGGGUCUAAGAUUUGUAAGUUGGGCUAAUUUUGAUUCCAUUUCAAGUUAAGGGAUUUUGAAAUGGGGAUCCCCACCAUGGCCAACCUAAUGUUGGAUUUGAAUCCUGAGAAAAGUUGCUUAAUGAGGGAAUUAGGGGUUUGGCCCCAACAAAUUGGCAUCACUUCCCACAAGACCUUGUAUCAAACCAAUAUUUGAGAAGAAUACUAAAUUUUUAAUAUAUGCUAAUAAAAGAAAAUUAAUUAAUCUGUAAAUAGCAAAUACAAAAAAAUGGAAAAUUAAAAUUUGGCAAAAAUGAUAAAUUAGUCUCCUAAAACCGCUGUACCUUUUCACUAAAAACCCUACUCACCAAUCAUCAUUUGGGCCUUGACCUCCAAAAGCCCACUUUCCAAGUCCAUGGUUUUCAUGGUCCAGCACGAACCCCAAACCCAAAUGGUGGUGAGUACUGAGGAGUGAGGAUGAGAGCAAUCAAAAUUUAAAAUCAAGGAAAAUUCAGGGGUUCAACGGCUAGUAAACAGUACACCAUUGAAUUCUCGUCUGAGAGCACCAAAUGCAGGCAAAUCAAGAGCAGCAGAAGCAGCCAUGGAGUCUCCAAGUUCAUGCCAAGGCCAAGAACUUCAAUUUCAAACUCAAGGCCACCCAAAUCAUACCCUCUCACAAGUUCUUUCGCCUCUCAGUCUUCCUCAAGGUCUGCUCUUUUUCCCUUAAAGCUAGAUCUGAACGCGGACCUCCAGCGUCUAGGCAACACCGGACGCCACUCAGAUCCAAAUUCGCCAGGAUUCUCGAGAAAAUUCGGUCCCGAGGCACCAAGAAACCAGCCAUUUCUGCUGUGAAAACCUCGAGUCGUCGACGCCCAGAAGCUAAACUUCCCCAAAAUCAGCGACCGAAACGAUUCGCUUACGAGGUAAUGCGAAAUUACACAUGUUUGUUUUGAUGUUGAUCCAAAUUCUAAUCAAAAUUUUGAUGGGUUUUAUGUGUUCACAGGAACCUAUCUACGUGGGUUCGAUAAUGAUGAGAGGCCUGGCUUUUCUUUCUCGCUCGGUCUCGGUGAAGGACCACAGUGGAAUCAUCAUCCACACCUCAAUAAUCUUGCUGUACCUUGCUUUAUUGUUUAAGAAAUACACGACAAGAGAAACUAGUAAUCUAUUGGCAACUUUGAUUGCUGCAAUAGUGGGUUGUUCGCUUGUGUUUGAUAUGAGCAGUGGCCUGAAUUAUAAUGGCGGCCUUGUUUCAGAAUGUGUUUGGACGAUCUGCAACUUGGCAGCCUCUUCUGGGUGUUUGUAUGUAUUUUCCCAGGUAAAUUUUGCUCCGUUCUAGCUCUUUAUUUUGCUCUCUCACACUUGAAGUUAAGAUUGAAAGCUUCAUCAGUAAUCAGAGGCCACUUGCUCUUAAAUUUCAGGUAAUUUUCUCAAGGUUUUUUCAAUAUAUGAAAGCACUCAGAUGAUUGGGGUCUUCUGGCGAUGAUACUGGUAAGGCUUCUUGUUUGUUCCAUUGGUGUUUUCUGCAAUGGUUCAAGCCAGAUACUUGAGGAGUAAAUAUUUUACAAAGUUUGAAUAAAUUUCUUUAUUGUCCAUUUUUAAGACACUUAAAAGUUUGUGAAGCCAGAAAUCAAAUGUAAAGCUAAAGGUCACAGGCCAGUAGACAAAGUGUAAUAAGAAUUGGUGUCACAAAAAUUUGAAAAUUUUAAUUUUAUAUACUGCCUUCAUGCUUUAAUUUAUUGUUUGUAAAGUAUCUUUCUCAACUUCACCUUACAGUGAGUGAAGUCCCAACCCUUUGAAGAAGGUGGGGGGGAUGGGAGGGUGAAGGGGGAGUGGGGAUCAUCACGGUAGGCAGGGGCAAAGCUAGGAAUAGGAUACGGGAGCAAUAGAAUAGAGGCUAAUUUCAAGAGGGGCAAAUAUAAGCCAAGAAGCAAUGUUUGGCUCAUCUCUCUUAAAACUGAGGUAUUUUUAUUUUCCCCCUUUUGGGCCUUAGGUGGGAAAAAAAGAUUGUGGAAUUCUAAAUUUUAGAUAUAAAUUGUUGAAAAUGAGUUUGGAAUUGGAAUGUGUUUUUCUUUUUUCUUUUUUAACUUCUUUUUGUUUAAUUAAUCAUCCCAUGAUUUUUAUUUUUUUUUAAAUCAAUGUUUCCCUUGAGAUUUAAAAAAAAACAAAUUAGGUUAGCUAUAUAUUUCAUCUUUUUUUAAAAAAAAUUAGUUGUUAAAAAAUAUCAAACUUUUAAGACUCGAGGAAAAUUAAAAAUCAGGAAAAAUUGACAUUUACCAUUGAGCGAUUUUAUAAAAUUGAUAGAAUUUUAGCUAAAAUUCCAUUAUUUUCAUAAAAACAAAAAUAUAAUGUGGUUCAUCAAUUGAAGAGGCUUUUGCAUUUAAGGUAGGCUAUAACUAUUGAUCGAGGAAAAAACCUUAAUCGAUCGAGCAUUGGUCGACAAGUCACUUAACCAAUCAAGAUUUUUGUCUUACAAUGAUUGUUUGUUAUACUUUUGUUCUUCUAACAAUUAAUAACUUAAUUAACCAUCAAUUGAUUGGUUUAGUUUAAAUUGUUCCUAAAUGUCAAAUAAUUCACAUUUUUAACAUAAUUUUUCCAAAAUAAAAAAAUAAAAAAUUGUUGCAUGACACCAUAUGGAAAUCUCAACCCACCAAAUGUUUGACAAAUAAACAAGAAGACCAUUCCUUCAAACAAAGAAAACGAACAAAUAAAGAAGCUUCCACCCACUACAUGUCAAAAUACUAAUAUUAUAAACAAGCAUGAUGACUAUUAGUCUAUUAGAAUAAUGAUUAUUGGUCCAACUCAAUUGAAAAAAUAUAUCUCAGGCAAUAAUAAAGAAUAUAACAACAAAUAAUAAUAUAUUAAUCUUGUCACCCUCAACCAUCCUCCCUUCAUUCUAUCUAAUUUAUUUAACCAAGAUUGAGAGAAUAUUUUUUUAGAUGCCUUAAAAAAACCAUUAAUUAAAGGUUAUAAAAACUAGGGGUGACAAAAUUUAACAUGAUUGGUUAAUAUGACACAACCCUAACACGUUUUUUGCGGGUUUGAGUUAAGUAUAAAUAGUUUAGAUCAAAUACGCAUUAAUUUAGAUCAUUAACCCACAUAACAUGAAUUUGACCCCAUAUUGAACCAUUUAAUAAUCUCGUUAUUAAUCUAAUUAUAUUUUCAAACUACUUAGUUAAUAUUUGACUUAUUUUAAAAUUUUCUUUUAAAUAAAUAGGUCAAUUGAUUCAUAAACAUUAAUCAUAUAAAUAUAUACAAUUCUUUAACUCAAUUCGAUUAUUAAAUAAGAGGACUUGAUUAUUAAAUGUAUUAAAUGGAUUACACAACGUGUUACCUAUUUAAUAAUGAGGUAGUAUUGGGGUUUAUGUUUUCUAUACGAUUAUUAUUCAUGUCGAGUUUAGGUUUAUGUAGUAAAAUACCUAAAAUUUGACAUGACACAAACAUGAUUCACUACUGUGAAUUGCCAUCCCUUUACCAAUAGAAGAUUAAGAAUAAAAUAAUAUAUAAAUUUCAAAUAUCGUUCGGUCAUGGGUUGUCUAUGGCUCCUUAAGAAAAGUAGUGGUUGCAUCAUCAUUAGAAGUAAUUGCAUCCUUAUUUGAAGUGUGACUCCAUUGUAGUUAUUUUGAAUUCUUCGAUAAGAGUAUGGUAAGAAAACUUUUGAAUGAAUGGAAUAGUCAAUCUUGAUCGAAAAAAGACUUACUUUUGAAGUCAUUGUUUAUAUAAAUUAAAAGUCGUUGAAAGUUGCAUACCUCAAUAUUUUUAAAUCCAUAAAUUAUGACAACUAAGGUAGUUAAAUGUGUUUAAUGUACGUUUAGUCAUAUUUUUAUUUUGUUUUUUAUUUAUAUUUUAUAUUUUGUUUUUAAAAUAAAAAAUUUUACAUAUAAAAAUGAAAAUUCUUUUAUAAAAAGUAUAGAUUCGUCUUAUAUCUUUAAAAGUAAUUUUAAAACCUUCUAAAAUUUAAGGUAAUAUUUUUUUUUACAUCAAUUAUUUUGAAAUAAUUUUUAAAAGUAUUAUUUUUUAACAUAAAUCUCUAAGAAUUCUUGUACUUUAUAUAAAAUGUAAUAUCAUUUUAUAAUUUUAAAAAUAAAAAAGAGAAAGUAAAGGUAAUUGUUUUUCAAAAUAAUUUUAUAUUAUCUAAAUAAAGAAAAAAAAAACAUGUUUGGUAAAUAGAAAAGAGAUUUCUGAUAUUAAAAACAAAAAACAUGAUAGGGUUUAUUUGGUAACUAUUUUAAAAAAUAAUUAUAAAAAAUAGUUUUUUAAAGCUAUUUUUAAUUUUUGUAAACAGAAAUAUAUUUGAAAACUUAAAAUGUUUUUAAUAUGUUUUAAAAAUAUUCUUUUAUAUAUAAUAUUUUAUUUUUAAUAAUCUUACAUUUUGUAUAAUUAUUUUUUAAAACAACCUUACAACAAGAAGUGAAAAUCAUAAUUGUUUUUUAAAAUAGCCUUUAAAAAACAAGUGAAAAUAACAUAAAAUAACCAAAAGAUGUUUUCUAAAAAAUACACCAUAUUAAAUAGAAUACAAUUUUUGAUGGUCAAAUGUGUUUUUUUAUUAUAGAGAACAUAAAAUUGUUUUAAAAAAUAGUUCACAAUGCUCGUGAUUUUAGAUAAUAUUUUUUAAUUAUAUUUAGUUAUUUUCUAAAGAGUUAUUUUUAAAAAUAAUUAGAAAAAUAUAAAUAAGGAUUAAAAACUUAUAUAUAAAAAUAUAAAAAACAUGUUAAGAAUAUUUUAGUUUUCAAAUAGAAUUUUAUUUUAUAAAAUAUUAGAAAAUGGUUUAAAAAAAUUGUUCUAAAAAUGGUUUUAAAAAAUUCUUAUGAAAUAUUGUUUUAAAACAUAUUAAAAACAUAAAAAUCAUGUGAAGAACAUUUUAGUUUUUUUUUUUUUAAAGCACUAAGUAUAAAAUUUAUUUUCAAAACAUAAAAAAUAUGUUAAGAUUAUUUUAAUUUUUUAAAUAAAUUUUAUUUUAUAAAACAUUAAAAAAUAAUAUUUAAAAAUUGUUAUUGAAAACGGUUUUAAUAAUUCCAAAAUUUUCAUUUCAACAUGCAAAAUUGUCAACAUUUUAUCGAGCGGCAAAGCAGGCCCUUCACCAAUGCUUCAUCCUGAAAACCGAAAGUAGGCCCGUGAACCAGGCCCAGGCCCAGGAGACAGCGGUGGGCCCGAAUUCAGCCACGGGAGCAGGGCGCGUGGGAAAAGGCACCAAAGAGGAAGAGAAACAAAUAAAAAAAUGAAAAAGACAAAAAGGGGGGGGGAGGGGGUGAUGUUGAGUAGUGGGUUUGAAUGGGAAAACGGGGACCGUAGAUCUACGGGAGGCAAGAGCAGAUCUGACGGGACAGGUUGAGAGUCAAAGAGCUAUCUUGAUGGGUCUCUUUGACCACACCCUCCCUCUUUCUAUUUUAAUAUUUAUUUUAUUAAUUAAUAAAUGACUCAAGUUUUCCAACUUUGACUGCCUUGUCACUUCAUUCCAGGCCCCUCUUCCUUGAAUCUCCAGCCACUCUGCUCCUUCACCCCCAUUUUUAUCAUCUUGCCCCUCCCCCUCCCCGGCCAUCCCCCUAGGAAACCAAACUCAAGGGGGCAUUCAGGUAAACUCACAGUGAGAAAGCCACUUCUGUUGUUUUACUGUAACAAUAAUAAUAAUGAGACUUAAUAAUUAAAAAUAAAAAUAUUUGAAUUUUUAUUAAUUAAGUAUAAAAAAGGAAGGGGGGUUUUGGGUAGGUUUGACUAGUGCUUCAUUGGGGGCUCCAUUCCAAUAUUCUUAUCAUUUUUUUAUUUUUAUUUUUAUUUUUUUUUCUGUCAUACUUUUUCUCUCUCACAAGUCACAAGAAAAAUCUUUCUCUUCCUUUUCCUCAUUUUCCUUUCUUUGACUUGCUCAGGGUUUCGUUUUUAUAGUAUCAAAUCUCCCUCUCUUCUCUGUUUAUCUCUUCCAAGAUCGAAACUUUACUGCACCCAGGGCGCAAUCGAGAUCAGUGGCUGUUGCAGAGACGACUUGUUUUGGGUUCGGUUCGUGUUUUUUUUUUUCUUUUUUUCUUUUAUAUUUUGGGGCCUUGUGUGUUCUUGUUUAUGUUCUGUCUGGUUGCUGGGAAAUCCUAGGAGAAGAAAUGAAUUCUUUAUGGAGGUUUUGUGGUUGAAUUGGCUGUUGUAGGAUUGUAAGGAUUAUUAUUAUUUUUUUUUAAUUUUCUUUUUUUUCUUUGGACAAUUUCUCGGCAUCUAAACGAAGAAUUUCAUUGUAGAGAAUUUUGGAAUUGUAUUAUUGGGAAAAUUUGGAGUGUUUUUUUAGCUUGAUUUUUUUUUUGGAGCUAUGAUGUUCUUGUUUUGAUGCUUGACUUGGUUUCAUCAUGCUAAUGGGGAUGUUCAGUUGAGGUAUUCCGACUGCUUUGAUGGCCUUAACGUCCAUCUUAGGAAAAUUCAACCAGCUAAUUAGUUUUUUUCCCCUCUCUAAUCGCGUGAACCUUGGUAUCUUUUGGUGUUUUUUUUGGGGGGGUUGAGAUUUGGAGUAGUUUUGGAUCUGAGUUGAUUUUGAUGCAGAUGAUUGGGUGCUGAGUUUAUGGGCUUCUUCUCAUCUCUUUUUCUUUCAUGAAGUAUUAAUGGAUUUGCCGUGGGCAGGGGUUUUUAGGUGCUAUUUACUUUUGAUGUUGGCUUACUGUUUGUUUUUAUUUCAUAUUUCUGUAUCGUCUAAAGGUGAAUUAAGAUUGGCCCUGGAGAUUGCAAUAGUAUAUUGCCUUAUCCACAUGCCAUGUUGCCACUCUGUAUGUCUUUAGGGUUUUUGCUGAAAAAUCAUUGGAGGUUUGUAACUUUGUAGGUAAACAUGAUUUGAAAGAUUGUAUCAAUGUGGAGGACAUACAUUGGACCGUCUCUCAUCGCUGGCCUAGCAGAGUUGAGAAAUUCUUUUAAGGUUUGGGGUCAGGCCAUGUAUGGAUCAAUUAGAAAGACAGAAAUCAAAACAUUCUGGACCUUUUUUUUUUCUAGGUUAAUUGAUAAAACCUUAUUCUAAUAAAAUUUCUUGGUGAAUCUUAUUGUAUUAAAUGCUUCUAGUUUAGUCUUUGUUUCUUCAUAGUAAGAAUUGCUAACUUAAUUAAAUAACAAACAAAAAUUUUCUUGCUGGGUGUCAUAGGAAAAGAUUUUGAGGCUCCUAUUUUGUUUUUCAUGAUUUUGGUAUUGUUGAAAUUCUCAAGUUUGAAGCUUGCAAUGACAUGUCAUUUCCUCAUUUCAUCUGGCAGGAGCAUACAAAACCUUGUCACUGGUGAAGACAUUGAAGAUAAAAUGGGCUGUUUCAAGGUUUUGAAGAGUAAGAAGAAAAAGGCUGAGCGCACUGCUUACAUUAAAAGGAUCAAUCCUCAGGAGCUAACACCCACUACACUGCCUGAACCUAAACUUCAGAGCCGCACACUUCAAUCUGCACCCCCAAGUUUUAGAACCCUAGUUAAACCUGUUCAACCAGUUAAAAGAAUCAUUAACAGUAGAACACGAGCAUUGUCCGCCCCAUCAAGCCUCAAUACAACUGAACAAGAUGCGCUUGCAUCAAAUGAAUGUGAAGAACAAGAAGAGUUGAAGAGUCGUGUUGGAUUAACAAAGGAACAGCGAUCGCCAAACCCUCAGCCUCUUCCUCUCCCAUCACCUCAAGGCACUGUUGUACUGAAAGCUACAGGAAGUUUUAAAGCAGGGAAUGCGAGUGGCCCUCUCUAUGCUUCUGGCCCACUGCCAUUGCCUCCUUUAGGAGCACUCCGGAACUUUGGCUAUGAAGAAUUAUCAAACGCCUGCCUCAAUUUCUCUUCAGAUCGAUGUGUGUCGGAAGGACUUUCAUCCAUAAUUUACAAGGCUUCCUUUGGGGAUGAUGCUUCAGGUUCAAAAAAGCUGGAAGCCACUGUUACCCGGCUUCACCCAUCCACCCAGGUAUCACGACUUUCUGGUUUUUUAUUUGAAUGCAGGCCCUGGAUUGAUUAUUAUGUCAUGUCUUUAUUCCUAAACUUCCUGCAGUUCUCAAACUGUUGCAAAUUAUAUAUGAGCAUGCUAACAUGACUAAUGUAAUUGAACUUUGGUGCACCCCCUUUUAGGCAUCUCUUAGUAUACACUCUUAUUUGCUUAUCAAUAAAAAAGCAUGACUAAUGUAAUCGAGUAUAUGAGCUAUAUCUCAUUGAUGAAGCAACUUUUAUGUUUCAACAUUCUAAUGAUUUAGUUUUAGGGCAAAUGUUUAUAGAAGUUUGAAACCGAGAUAAAUUUUCACCUGCCUGUUUGUAUUUUUCAUUUUUAUCUCACUUUUCUUUCUUUAUUCCCCUCUAUAAUACAAAAUAUCGCUAACGCAAAUAGAUUGAUUUGAAGCAUAAGUCUUUUACAAUGUAUAAUAAAUUCUGCCAAUUUUGUAAUAUUUAACCAUGGCUUUAGAUUUGCUAGGAAUUUCUAUGAUUCUACUUUUUUAUUCUUUUUGAUUUUUUUUUUUCUUUUGAAAUGUUUUACAACCCUCAGUACACUGAGAUAUAACCCAUCCUGUUUGUGCUCAUCUAGGGUUUAAAGGAAUUCAUAAACGAGGUAAACACGCUUGCAUCAUUGCAACAUCCCCACCUCUGUAAGUUGCUUGGUUUCCAUGCGCGUGAGGGAUCUGACCAGAGGAUGUUGGUUUAUGAGAGGCUCUACCAUGGAAGCUUAGACCGUCUUCUAUAUGGGAGAUCGGAUGGGCCAUCCAUUGAUUGGAACACAAGAAUGAAAGUUGCUUUAUGUGCUGCACAGGGUCUCACUUUCUUGCAUGAAGAAGGGCCUUUCCAGGUAAGCUGAAAUCCUGUCUCUGUUCUUUUGAAGGAUUAAAAUUGAAAUAGAUGGUACAUGAUCCCCCACAUGGUCAACUAGUAACACUUCUCAGUUUAUGUUGCAUUUUUCUUUUUCUCUUUUUGGUAUAUUGCCCUUUCUUCGUUUGAUGGAAAUGCACAUGGGAGAUGAUAAAUUUCAAUAUGCCUUAUCAUGUUCUAUCAUUAUUUUGGCUUGAGCUUCUAUCCUUUUAGCUUGCUUGCCCAGAGUUGCAUUUUUUUUGGUAGUCAUAAUAAAAACUUUAAUUCUGUAUUUCAUGCUUGUCCAAUCCAUCAGUUCUGUAGAUUUGGUUGAAAUCCCAUCCAGUAGGUCCUACGUUGUGAAUGUUCCAGGACAGUAUGGCAAUUUUCAUGAUUGGUGUAAUAUUUAUUGAAUGUGACCUUUUGGUGGGAGAUUGCUUGAAAUGCAAAUAUUUCAAUUCCUGUUUUUCUGUUUCCCUCAGAUCACUGUCCCAAUUCUGUAUAUUAGGAUUUUUUUUUUCCAGUGGUUGUUGUUCUUGUUGUGUACUGAGAACUUCCCUGUGUGUUUACAGGCUAUGUACAAUGAAUUUUCAACUGCCAAUAUACAGAUUGACAAGGAUUUUAGUGCAAAGCUUUCGGGAUAUGGUUGCGUUGGCCACAUUCCAGAAGCAGAUGUUUGCAGUAGUUCAGUUGUAAGUGCUUUAACUCAUAUGAGGAUAAUUCUAUCAUUGUUUUGGUUUCCGACUGCGAGAUACUACUUUUCCCAUGCAUAGAGAUGGAAUAGUACAAUCAUGACAAAUAAGACACUUAUUAUUUCUGCAACUACUUCCAUCAAGUAAGACUAAAUCCUAAUACAACAAUGAAGUAUUUACUUCUCUGAAACUGUCAUAACAUGACAGCAUGGUGAUUUCUGGUCUUUUUUACACGAGUUCCUUUUGUUCUGGGUGCUUUUCUUUUCUCUGAUUUGUUUUUGAUCCUGGGGAAUUAAUUAUCUUUUGUGCCAUGUCCAUUUAUUCAGGCAGUAGCAAAUCUAUCAGUGGAGACAUUAGAGAGAGGAUUACUAACUCCCAAAAGCAAUGUUUGGAGUUUUGGAAUAGUUCUUCUUGAGCUACUCACUGGGCACAAGAACCUUGACAGCCGCCAUCCGAAGGAAGAGAGGAACUUAGUUAAGUGGAGCCGACCUUAUCUGGCCGAUGAUUGUCGACUCUCAUUGAUAAUGGAUCCUCACCUAAAAGGCCGCUUCCCUGCCAAAGCAGCCCGAACAGUGGCAGAUAUUGCCCAAAGAUGUCUUCAGAUGGACCCCUUAGAAAGACCCACCAUGAGAACCAUUGUGGAGCAUCUCAAAAUCAUUCAAGACAUGAAGUAUUCCUGCCGGUUUCCUCUGCAAGAGCCGGCAGCAGUUGCUGGAAAACAGAUGUCAAGAUCGCCUAGUCUCAAUGGGAUCAUUACCCCAGCGCCCAGGCUAAGUUUCUCCCCUUCUCCGCCAUCAAGAACCCACCUCUCCGUUUCUCCAACAAGACCGCCUGUAGUACCCGUGUCUCUUCCUCCCCGAGCCUGUUCCUCCACUCUCUCUUUGGAGGACCUUGAACGGCAGGAAAGCAGGAAAUCUUCAUCAUCAACAUCCACCUUUCGGAGGCCCAGUGUUGAAGGUUUUUGAUUGUCAAUAGUAUGCAAUUUUUUCAUUUUCAUUUUUUUUUUUGUUUUUUUCUUUCCCCUUUUGUGAUUCAACACAAUAUAUAGAAGAUAAAAAAAAUGUGGUUCUUCCACCUUUCCAUCCCUCAAGAAGAUGCAACAGAGGAGGAUGCUAUUUUGUAGAUAAAAAAGAAAAAAAAAGAAAAAAAAAGAAAAAAAAAAGUGUGAGCCUCUCUUCUUAUUGGGUUCAGUUAGUUUCCUCCUCUCCACAAUUUGAUUUUGCUUUUUCUCCUUCCCUCUGGCAAAUGUUGUUGUGAUGUCUUCAUUGAAAUGAAAAACUGAUUUGUUUGCAAUUUGGGUAGAAAAUAUUGGAAAGGUUCAGAGAAUCUGAAAUUGGUCAAAAUUUGGCUACUUGAACAAAUCAAAUUUCGGCUUGACAAUGACACCUCAUUAAUAAUAUACCAAUCCAAACUCUCUUCAUUUCUUCCAGAAAGGAAAGCUGGAGUUGCCUUUCCCAUCUAUUUUCCUCUAAAUUGAAAAGUCUUUAGAGAUAAUGUAUUGAAUGGCUCUUGAAAAAUAAUUACUAGUUGAUAUUUUCAACCAUUCUUCAAAAUUUGUCAGCAUUUAGAAAAGAUUGCACAUUAAUUUAGUUUGAAUUCAACAAAAUUUUCCUCCUUCCGCUUUCUUGGAUAUCUGGGUUUAUUCUUUAGAAUCUUUGCCAUCUUUUUCCACAAGAAAUCUUUUAAUUAAUUAAUUAAAAUCAGUCUUCCUCUGUAUUUCCGGGUCUUGAAACUAAGACCAGAUCAAGGGCAUUUCUUUUUCCUCCCCUUGACAUUAAUGUAAUUAAUUUAAAAUAUAGUGAUGCAUGUGAUAGCAUGUUAAAAAGGAUAAAAUAUUUUUUUUUCUAAAAUUAAAAAUAAUAUAAUGAAUUAAUUUACUUAUUUUUUUAGUUAAAAUGAUAUUAAAUCAGUGAGAGGUAAAUUAAUAAAUAAUAUUUUGUAUUUUUUUAUUUUUUUAUGUAAAUAUUAACAAACAUUUAUAAAAUUAUUGUAAAAAAGAUGUCUGAUUAAGUUUAAAUCUCAUAAUAUUGAAAUAAAAAUAUUUAAAAGAAUAAUAUUAAUAUUUUUUAAAGUUUUAAUUAAAUACAUCUUAUCACCAAUCUUUAAUUUGGAGUGUCCCAACUCCCAAGUGGUGAAAUCGAGAGAGAGAGAGUAUUUUUUAAGGUUUUAAUUAAAUACACCUGAUAAAUCCUUAACUUGGAGUGUCCCAACUCACAAGUGGUGAAAGUUGAUAGUCUGACAGUCCCAAGUGGUGAAAGUCGAUUACCCCAAAACAUGAUUGGCGUGCGUAGACGGUAGACGCUACACGUUACAGUCUGAGGGGAGUAGAAUCCAAUGUGGAUCCACAAGAAUGACUUUGUAGGGUUCAGUACUUGUGGGUGGCUGACAUCAAAGCAGUACUGUAGGUUUUGAACAUUGAGCCAAUUACCCAGGUAAAUAGUAAAUUAAAAACACCUUGUCAGAGUUGUAGUUGAAAAUGGAUGACUCGAAGGUUCAAUUAUGAUAUUUUCCAUUUUUAAAAUUAUUAACUCAAAUAAUCAAAUUCUAUCACAUCAUAAAGCAUUCAAAUUCAAAUUUUAUAGAUGGUCGAUCACAAAAGUCAAUGUAGUUUGAAAUUUUGUGUAUAAUUGAUGAUUAUUUAGUUACAAUACAUUUUUUUAGUUCAUAUUUAUUUUAAGACAAUUUUGAUGUAAGUAAGCAUAUUUGUUACGAUAAAACCCUUAAGGAUGUUGUCUUAGGGAUGUAAAAAAGGUGUAUCAUUUUCUUAUGGUUAGUAGAUUAUUUGAUGAUCAAGAGAUCAAGUAAUUUUUCCAUGUUGUUUAAUAUAAUUGGAUCAUUUACUUUUGCAUAGGUUCUUUUGUGCAAUUGGAAUAUUUAAUUUUACACAAGAUUAUAAUGCUCUCGCUAUAAAAUUAAUCCAAAGGGAUAAAACCAGAAAUUAGAAAUGAAGUAUUAGUUUAAAUCACCCCUCCCUUUAGGUAGUUUUAUCCUAUUAAUUCUUUCAAUCUCAAAGUAGCUUCAAAUUCACCAUAAAAUCAUAUCACAUAGCAACAGAAGACCUUUUUUGAGCAUAUGACCCCAUCACUUCUGUCGAAAAGGAUCCUGUAAGGGACCUUUGAACUAAACCAAGGCAGGGUGCUAUUUUCUAGGAUAAGUCAAGCUGAUAGGGGAAAUGGAUACUUCAAAUGGAGCAUAGAAAGAAAGAGGCAAUAAACGGAUACUGAAUUAGAAAAGAGAAUAAACUGUUGACCUAAACAUUAUGAAAAGCAAAUCCAAUUUCUUUGUUACAAAUGAUGAUUUCUGGCAUGUUAAGAGUCUAAAAUCCAUGCAUACAUCCUCUUUUAAGAAGAAAUAAUUUUCUAUGACGCAUAUUAUAUGACAAAUAAAAACCUCAAGCACCCUCUCCAACCAUUGGUACAAGCAAUACCAGGCCACAAGAGAAAAACGGAGAGAUAAGUAUGUAAUUUAUAGAGAAAGGAGUUGUUCUUACCAGGAGAGUGAAAAAGGUGGAAAGGGAAGAGGAGCUCACGAAUUAAGCAUCAUUUUUGCUUUGAUCUUGUCCAGAGUGCUCCUCAUCUCCCCCAUUCUCUCGCUCUGAAACUGCAGGAGCAGUAAUACAAUGAUCCUCAUUUAGUGGUCCUUCACUCUCUCCAGUAGCUUGUGGUGGUGGCACAUGUGAUCCUGAGCUGCCUUGUUGCUCGGCCAAGCUUUUGAGACCAUUCUGCUUCAGAUAUGUUUCCAAAGGAAGACUUGCCACUUGUAGAAGACUCAUCAUGCUCACUCGGUUUGAUCCCACUUGCAAGUCCUCCUCACGGUCAGGAUGGCAAUUCAAGUCUAUUUUUCCCUUGCCAGUUUCACUCAACUUGGUGGACAGAUUGUUGCUUUGGCUCCUAGAUUCUGACUCGUUUGCCAACCCAGCUUCACUCUCCGAAGGGUCAGGAUUUGGAGUGGCAAGUCUUGAGGUGCUGUCCACUUCUGCUUCAUCCUUAGCGCCCCAGAUAUUGUGAUUUAUCUGGGCAAUCUCUGCUUCACGCUCUGAUUGGCGCUUUUUUUUCCGCAUCAUUAGUGUUUUAAAACGACGUUUAACUGUCAUACAUACAUUGCAUGUGCAGGUGGGCUUGUGCUUGCCCUUCCCACUGGGGGGCUGGAUACACACAAUGCAUGAGCAGCCUGGGCGAUGCCUCGGGUGUUUGGUUGUGGUUGCAACUGAUGUAGCGGCUGGGUCGCUCAUGUCAUCUCCAAGGGCUGCAGCAUUGGCCAGAGCAUCUAGGCCGGAAGGUUCAUGCUCCUGUGCAGGCCUAUGAACUGCUGCAAUUCGACGUUUUCUGAAAUCUAUUAACCAGGAACAGAAGAAGUGUCACAAAUAUUUUUGGAUUCAAAGUAGACAAUACUCCACAGAGAGAGAAACGGACAUCAUUUCAUAAUAUGAAACACGUGUACACAUGCAUACACAAUGACUUCCCUAUUCCAACCCUGACACUAGUUGCCCAGACGUGUGCUUUCAUUCCAAAAUCAUGGUUUUAAAUUUUCAAAGAUUGAAAUUUAUUCAGUAAGUCCAAGUUUAAAACUCCAACCCCAAUGGGGAAAUACAUUAAUAAAAGAACAGUAGUGUGCAAACGUGACCCUUGGAAGGGUGUAUGUAUUAGUAGGCUUUUCAAGGAGACUACAAACCCCACUGUAUGGCAGCUUCAAGACAAAACCUGAUUGGGACAAACAUCUCCCCCGUUGGGUGUUCAAUGUAUCUGAUGUAAUGUCAUGCACCCAUUAAUAAAGGUGCUAUUAUUCAUUAAAAUUUUAACUACCAGUUGCAACUCUUCAAGACCAUACUGGGUUCUGUGGCCAAUAGCAUUAUAUCAGUAAUGUCUCCACAAUCCUCCCUGGCCACCCCCACCGACAAAUUUAUGAAAUACCCUCAUGCAAAAUACAAAUAUUAUAUAUAAAAGGAAACCAUUUCUCAAAGAAUGUUUCAGGCUGCAGCAAUUAUUUAUUUAGAUAAAAUACAAGUACAGAUGCUGGCAUCAUACCCUUAUAUUGUCUGAGAAUAUGUUCGAGUUCCCUAGGGCUCAACUCAUCUGGGGCAGAACAUGAACACCUGGAUUACAAUAACAGAAGGUCAAGGAUUUAAAGUUUCUCUAGUGGAAAAACACUUGCAUGGAAACACUUAUAACUGACCUGCUUUGAUCCCACAAAUUUUCAGCACACGUCCACUGACAUGGAACAAGAUAAUCAUGGGGCACCUUUCGCCAUUUAGAGCAACUAUCACACUGAACCCAUUGCUCCUCUCCCCUGGAUGAUCAAGCUUAGCAAAUUAGAUGGAUUCACCUAACAGAAGUCUCAAGACAGAAAUCUAGGUAUCAAAAUAGCAGACACAGAAUUUCUCAGGAUAAAAAGUGACUCCUCUUCCAUGUGAGGUACACGUGGCACCAUAAUAAAUGGGCACUAAUUGGUGCCAAAUUGUGUCUUGAUCCAGGGUUCAGACAACUGGAUAAAUUUUUUACUUAAGAACCUGGUAUUAUGUAUCAGUAGAUCCCUAUCACUGGAUGAAUGCUGCAUAAAAACAUAAGAUCAUGACAAGUUUGACACAUUUUACUUAGGAAAACAAAUUUUUGGAACUGCAUCAUUAGAAUUGGAGAUCCUUGGCAUCCAAGGAGGAAGGAGAACUUGGUGGUAGGGAUGGAGGUAGUAUUGCUGAAGGACCUUGGAAGAGUUCAUUUUCGGAGGCAGAAGUAAAACUUGUACAAAUUAAUCAAGACACUCUUUCUCCUAGAUGGGAAGUUAAAUCUAGUGAUCUCACAAGUACUGAUUUCAUAUUUUUUCUUCUUUUGAUUUCUUAGGCUUGGGGCCACCCAGUAAUUGUCACUAGACAAAACAUGGGAAAUGGAAGCAGAAAGGGCAAUUCAAAAAGAAAGAAAACAUGACAUUAGGAAAAUAAAGCAUUAAAGAAGUUUGUAAAUGAAAAAUAAAGGUGCUGAGAGUAGGUAACACUCAUGAAACCUAUUUUCCAGAUGUUUUAGCAACAUUUCCCAUGGGAAACAAAGGUUGAACAUUUUCAAAGAUGGAAAGCACUUAUGAGAAAUAAGUUACCUUAAAAUUUUUUAAACAAGUUUCCCACCAGCUUUAGAAAUGGGUUUCUGGGAAACUGAGUAGAGUUUCCAUCAUGGGGAAAGUAUUUGUAAUUAUGAUCCAGAUAGCUUCACUUUGCAUGUGGGGUUCAGUCAUUGGUGUUCAAAAAUGCUACUUCACAUGCAAAAAUGUAUUAGAAUAAGUUACCAGAAAUCCUUACCCAGAUGGGAGGGUUGUGAAAAUACUCCUCUUUCCAAAAACAGGGGGUUCCUGUAUGACAAAUAAAUAACAUGAUAAGUAAUUAUUAGUAACCUAUAUAUAUAUGUAUGUAUGAAAAAGAAACAGCAAUCACAUAGCUUGUAUGAACAAACAAGGUAGUAUUUAUGUUUAAGACUGAAACAAGGAGCCUCAGCAAAUAAUUUGUACUUUUUUCUUUUUAUUUUUGGCAAACUGCCGUUGUCAAAAUAAAGUCUGUAAGUGGCAUUUGGAUGCUUUACGAGUGUGAGCUAGCAGCAAGACAAUUUAUAAAAGCUAAUUGCAUUACUAUUUUGAGAAUUGUGGAAAGUUUGCUUACAGUGUAUGCCUCAAAUUCGUAGUCCUCAAUCACGUCAAUGACUGGCUUGACACUUGGGGGUGGGCGGAGCAAAGACUGUGCCUCUUCCCAUGUAAGCCUCAGCUCCAGAGCAUCUUGGCCAUCGAUUAGCAAUCUCUUACUUUUAGACCCAAUUGUUCGAGUUCUCUUCUUCUCUGGUACCAGCAUUGAUGGAAGCAGCAAGCCCUCUCUUGUCUUGCCUCCAUGCUUCUCUGUUUUAUGCCAGCCAAUAUCCCCACUAGCUGAAUUCAAAUGUUUUGACAAUGCAUUUAGAUGGGGAUCUGUGCUUCCCUUCAGCGACUGAAGAAUGCCAGAGUAACCACUUAUUAUAGGUUGGUUCUCAAUAACACCCGAAAAGAAAGUUUCACUUGAAUGAGCGCCAUUAGGAAUGGCAGAUAGUUGGGUGUCCUGUUUAGUUAAUAAUUUAUAUAUUAAUAUUAUAUGAUCCAGGUUUGCUAACAUGAAAACUCACUUUGUUUUCCAAGUGUGUGGAUGCAAAUAUAAGAGUUAGUUACAUCAAUGAAGUUGACUACCUGCAUGGAAACGGAGUUAGAUGCUUUCCGGAACCCCAUAACAAGUUUUCCUUCUGGAUCCAUACGGCUGAAUGUUACUGCAGCAAAAAUAUUAAAUGGAUAAAAAUGGAAUACCAAAUGUAUCUUAGCUUCUGGAAAAGAAAAAAGGAAACAGAAAAGGAAGAAAGAAAAACGAAGGGGGAAAAAGGAAAAACCACACCAUAUAUAGGAAGUGACAAAGACAGAAGAUCAUCAGGCAUAAGACAGUCAUUGAUAAUGUUAGAGCAAGUAAUUUGAUAACAUUCUCUAAAAAAUUAUCAAAUAGAAAUUUCUGUCAGAGAAUGGAAUGACAGGAUGUGACAGCAUAAUCAUUAUUGUGAGAAUCCUAAUUAAAGUCUCAUAGUUAGGACCCAAAACACAACAAAACAAAAAAAUUAAUAAGGUCUUGUUUGAAAUGGUUUCUUCAAAGCUAAAAGCUCUUUUUUAAGCUCAAUAGAGCUUCUCUAGAUGUGUUUGGAUAAUUUUAAUAAAACUUCAAAAAGCUAAUUGCCUUAAAAGAAAAAAUGAAAAAAAAAGUUCAACAGGAAAGUUAGGACAAUAUUGUUUACUGUGGAAGCCCUCUUUUUGGCUUAUUGCAGGAAAUUGUUUCAUGUUUAAUGAAACUUUUGUAGUACCAAGAUUGUCCCUCUAAAAUUAUAGACUUAGCUUCAACUUCUACCAAAAGCCAAAACGAUAUCCCAAACAAGGCCUAAGAGAAGAGUAAAGAUUAAUACAAACUAAAAUAUGCUUAGAAAUUUAGUGCCUCUGGCAUUCUUCAAGUAGAGAAAAUAGCUGAGACAUGUUUAUAUCAUGACAGUUGAAAAUUUUUCCUCUUGUAUAGCAAUACAAAUCAAAAGAAUGACGAAUGACUUCACAACCAUUAGUUUUUGUUGAUUAUUAAAUAUGCUAAAAUUGUUGUGGCAUGCCUACAUAAAAUACGAAGCAGGCAAUAGAAGUUACCAGUAUCUCCAGCUUGUAACUGCAUUGACUGUAUGCAUGGGGUCACACCCUCUAAAACAUACAUCCUGCUGUUAUUAUUGGGCCAAAACCUGAAUUGGAACACCCAUUCUUUCCCCUUCACAUCCUGAAUCCUUAAAGGAAGGCCCUCUGGUUGAGAGAUAGGAGGAAAAUAUGCCUGCAAAAUGGUUUAGUUUCAAUUGAUAUACAGAUAAGGUUCAACAAAAAUAAGCUUAACAGUUAAAUUUGGGAAGAACGAAAAAAAAUGAAAAAUGCAAAAGACAACCAAUAAAUAUUAUUUUGUCAAAUGAAAGCCAGACUAAGCACACAAUGGAAAGCUUACUUCAGCACAUGCUUUUGGGAGCACUAAACGACCAAUACGACCAGCAUCACUGGCACUUAGCAUCUUUUCAAAUAAUGGUACGAUGGUGGAAUUUGAGCUUCAAGAAAGCAUGAUUAAAGAAAUCGCUGAUCGAGUUGGUGAAUAAGCAUGAAAAUUAAAAAAAAAUUAACAGCGAAGCAAUCUAUGAACUUCAAAAUAAAAAUGACAUAGUCAAGGAUACUCUCCAGAUAUUUGCUGCAAUUCCUGGUCUGUGAUCCUCGGCCAAUAACGAGGAAGCAACUGAUUCCGACCCCGUCCCUCUGCAGGUGGCCUUGCAACACGUAUUUGUGGAACUAUACCUGUAUUUGUUUCCAAAACAGGAGAAAGUGCUGACCUUGGGGGCUUGGGCAAAAGAUGGCGAGACCUAGGCCCCUGUUGGAUGGGAGUGGAUGUUUUGUGUUGUUCCCUUUCUUCAACGACUGCACUAGGAAACACAUUUGGAUUUCCUGAAGGAGCACCCAAGGUGAUACUCAAAUUUGUCUGAACCAGAGACUCAUGUAUAUCUUUGACCAUCAUGUUUGCUUUACAAAUAUCUAGUUUGGCAUGUAUGGAAGAUCCGAUGGAUGCUUGAUUUAAAUUUGACAAACAUGUACUACCAGUUUCUCCCUGAGGUGGCAAAACUUCCUCCUGUUUCAUUUGGCCAAGAGACCCAUUUAUGUUGUCAUUUCCAGAUUGAAGAAAGUUUUUCAGUCCAUCACCCGAUGUAUCAUUCCCCAACUGUGUAAGCUUCAUCUUCUCAACACUACCACCAUCUAAUUGAUUGUCCACAGAAGUGCAACGAAUUUCACCCACAUUAUCCACUGUCAUUGCACCACUUUCAUUAGCCUUUUCAUCACCUGUCAUCUGUAUGACAAUUUAGAAGUAUCAUAAAUCCCUGAAGGUUGAAAGGAAGUGAUUAAAUUGUAAUAUUCAAUCACUUUCAAGUGAUUAAAAAAAUCUGAUGUAUGCUGCAAAGAACAAACUGAAAUGCACACCUUAUCAAAUACCAUCAUAAACAUCAGAUAAGAAAGUUGUCUGAAAUUAGAGGUAAAUUCUUACUCUUUUCUUACUAAUCCUUUUGUCACCUUCAUUAAUUGAAAGAUACAUAAAUCUACAACACCAGAUCAUCUUAAACCAUAAUUGGAAAUUGGAACUUGUUAAUAAACCAUUUGUUAUUUGUUUCAUUAAUUGGGAAGUGUUUAUAUAGUUGAACGAAACAGAUGAUAAAGAAUCAUACAAACUAAUCAACGAAUUGAUUUUGGCAGUUUGUAACUGAUAUGAUAGUAGGAUGGAACUACAGAAUUAUUAAAUGCAUCCAACCAAAAAUUAUAAAGGAGUAUGUUUGUGUAACUUUUCCAAAAGAAGUCAUAGACAUGUAAAUGAGUUGAUCUUACAGGGUGAGGUCCUGAACUUCUUAUGCAGUUAAUACAAUUUACGCCACCACUAUCAAGUAGCUCAAGCAGAGACCUGGAAGCAAUGCAUCCACAAUGGAGACGCUGGAAACACCAAUUGAAUCAUACUUUUCAACAAUAGCAUGAGUUGAAGAAAAAAAGUGAUGUGAGUUGGGAAGAAGGAACAAGAUACGAGUUACUGGACUACCAACUGACCUUGCCACAUGCAGUACAUUUCCUCCAACCAGAGUCCUUUGAGUGAAACAUGUCACAGAAAACUAGUUGCUCAAAAGCAGACCUGGAGAGAAUUCAGUUGCAAAUAGAAAGUAUCAUCUAAUAAGUCAUAUGGAGAAACCUAAUGUUUUCUUUUCCCAAUAAAUAUAGAUAAAAAAUUGCAGCUCAUCAUGUAAAAUUGUCAUAAAAUGGUGACUAUUAAGUCCCAGCAGUCAGGUUCCAGUCACAUACCUAGUUUCUCAAAAACAAUAAAUGCCAAAUAUUAUUAUUCAUAGGGCAAAAAGAUAAUUGUAAAUAAAAUUGUGUAGUAUUUCUAAAAAACAAGGGAAAGAAAACCAACCAUUAAAGGUCAAGUUCAAGCCAUAAAUUGCUAUGCACUCUAGGCAUCUCCAUGUUUCCACCUUCUAAGGUUCUCAGCAUUUAGAUAGUCGUAUCUAGGCCAAACAAGCUGGUGGAUCAAAAGUUCCUAGUCAUUUAGAAGAAAUUGUUGUCUUCAUGGGUGUCAGCCCAUCAUCAUUAGUGAGGUUUCACCGUUUAACCAGAAAUUGUUAAAUCAUCCAAAUCCAGACAUAAUUAGGAUGAUCCAGUACCAAAAUUUUUUCAGCCUCUUACAAAUCUCAAUGCAUCUUUAAAACAUAUUUAGGAUGUAGGAUGGACCAGAAACAAAUUGCAUGUGGAUACUCAAACCAAAUGAUAAAAUAUCCUUAUUUUUAUUUGCAUGUAAUAUGGAACACAUAAUAUGAUAAAAUUAAAUUUAAAAAUUUUACAUAGGGAGAAAUUAGAUUCAAAAUUUUGCUUCAUCACUGUAUGAGGGUAAAUUGUUCUGUCAUUCACAGAUUGCAAUGACUUGAUUAGUUUACUUACGGACAAGACAAAGAUGAUGAGAUGUGAAAGGCAAUGCAGAUAGCAAGUCAAAUCACAUGCCCUUAAUUUCUUACAAAUAGAAUCCUGCCAAUAGUCAUUUAAAAGCAAACAAUAGGAAGACAAAUAUUUAUUCAACCAAAUAUGGCAUGUAUUUCAAAAAGAAUAAUAAGCUCUUAAAUAAUUUGUAUUUAAUUUUAUCGGGAUAGAUUAAACUAAGGUAACUUAUCAAAUAUAUUUAUCCCCACAAAAGAUACAUCAAGGGAUAAUCAUUAAUGAAGAUGUUUAUCAAGAAACUCUAUUAUCAACCUCUAUUGAUAGCCUAAGCUCAAAAGUGUCAUCAGCACAACUUGGAAGAGAGAUAAUUGAAGCUUCAUCCCUGAAGAACUUUCUUCAAUCCAAUGGACUAACAAUCCCAAAGCUCUACAAGAUUUUGUCACUCAAACCUAUGCUCAUCAUUUACGCCCACAAACUACAAGCCAAUGAGCAUAGUAAAGCUCUUUUAAAUUAUAGAUAUAAAGCUAUACAAACAUCAUUCCUUCAGCAUUUAAGAUCUCAAAGGCUACAUUCAUGGUGAAGCUUUAUUCUUCUCUUAUAUGCUGUAAGCCUCUGCAACUGUGUCAACACAUCCCAACCUUCUGCAGCUGAAUUCACUUUGUCUGGGAACCAGCUCUUCGAGUCUUUGACUGAAGCAACUUUGAGAAAAAGAAUCAGAGGAUAUUUUCUUUAUUGAAGAAUUUUCAGAGUUUGCAUUUCAAUUUUCUUAAACUAAUAAAUCUGAGAUGGUCAACACUUUUCUCAUUUUUUUUUCAGGUUUAAGAUUUGUGUUCACAAAUUUCUAGAAAACCCAGCUAAAUAAUCUCCACCUAAUUCCUAUUUUCAAGUGAAUAAGUUGUGAUCAUGUGACUAGCAACAACAGCAAAUGAAAUAUUAACAUGCACACUUAAUGUGACAUUAGGGUAAAGGACGUGCACCAAUUUUCUUUAAAAAUAGCUACUUUAAAAUUUGUCUUGGGCUUGUGAAUUUAAAAAACACCUGGACAAUUAUCCUUGGUGGAGGUGAAGAAUAGUACCAUUGUUGUGGCAAAGAAGCUAUUGGCUCACUUGCUAAAUCACAAAAUUCAAGUUUGGGUUCUACACUAAGUCAGCAUGGGACAUGGAUUACACCAAUUAUCAAGUCUACAAAUUAUAUUUUUCAUGCCACUCAUGGUGAUUGAAGCAACUUUAAGUGGUUUAAGGCUUUAAGCAAUGAAACAAAUUGGAAGAAUAGUCGAUGCUAUCAAAGAGCAUUCACAACAUAAUCAAGAGCAAGAUGCUCACAGAAAUAAAACUUCAACACAAGCUUGGUUGAUGAUAGCAUGUUGCUAAGAUCCUUCUUGAUUCACACCAUAAGAUACUUCAAAAACCUUCUUUAAAAGAAAAGGUAUUGCUACAAAUCAGCUAAAACAUUUUAUCCUAGAAAAUUUUGUUGCAAAUCAGCUGAAGGAUUUUACCUUGGAGAAAACUCCUAAAACAUGUGACAAUGAAUCUCAAUCCCCUCUCCCACAAACCAAAGUUUUAAAAGAUGCAAGGCACACUUAUGACAUAAAGGCAACCCAACACACAUGUCUAAGUGAAAAUCGGGUGCACUCCAAGUCUAUGUGUAAUUUUAUAUCAUGUAACAAAUAUUAACGCGCAAACAUUUAUAAUAUUUUCAUAUAUCAUUAAAUAGUACUAAAAAUUUCAAUUCAAGCAAUUAAAGACAUCAAAAUUUCACACAUUUUACAUAAAAUCCAACAAAAAUAAUGCUAAAAAAAUCAGUUAUCAUUUAUUUGUGUACUAUACAUAAAAUCACAAAAUAAAUAAAUAAAUAGAUAAAAAUAAUUCAAUUAGUACUAAAAAAAGCAAAUAAAUUUGUGAACUACAUAUAUAUACUGAGCGCCGCAUCAAUGGAUAAUCGUCCUUUAUUAAGAAAUAAUUAUCACUUAUAAGUAGAUAACUGACAAACAAAAACCAUAAAGCUAUUAUAGUUAAUGAUUCGCAAAAUGGCUAAUAAAUCAAAGAAAAUAAAAAUGCCUAAAAUAUUGGGAUCAUAGGAGUUGUGCGUGUUAUGGACAACCUACACAUACAUUUUUCCUUUUCUUCUUCUUCUUCUUCUUCUUCUCCUCUUUUACUCUUCUUCUUUUCAAUCUCUUUCUUGGAAUCAAGCCUUCAAAUCUUCUUUUUUCAAAUGGUAGGGUGAAAAGGUAUUGUUUUGUCUGUUGUUUUAAAAAUACUUAGGCUCAAAAUGACCUUUUUUUUUUCUUUUCUUACUAUGGUAGAAAAAAAAAAUAACUGCAAUUAGGUGCACUUUUUAUUGGCCUUGUGCCUUGCUCUAAGGGUGUGCCUUUUACACCUAAGUUGUGCCUUGUUGAAUGCACCUCUCCUUGUUCUAAACGAGAUGCUAGAGGAGCCAUGUCAUGUCACCUUACCACUGAGAGCAUCUUCGAAAACCAUGCCAUACACACCAAGAAGAGUUGAUAAGGACACCAAUCAGCUACCAAUCAUUAAAAUUUCAACAUUUUGAUAGGACAAGGAAAUCCAAGGCAACACAAGGGUCAAUUUAUGGGGACAUGCAACAAUCUCAAUCUUUUUCCGUUUUUUUUUUUUUUUAAGGCAAAUUUUUGUCCCCAUAAGGGACUUGAACCUGGAACUUGUGUUUAACUCUUCAUUCAUGUACAAGAUCCCUAAUAAUUCAUUGAAACUAGCUUCACUCACAUAACCAUCAUUUUACAUAUGAAGCGGUAAACCCUAUAGCAAAUCCUAAGAGAUCACCCAUUUUAUUUUUUAUUUUUUAUUUAUAAUGAGGAAUGCACCCUGCCAAUAAGGCAUUUAUCCCAACUGUUGAUAAAGCAAACCCUGGAUAACAUAGGUCCACUUCUUUAUCCUACACACUUAAAUUGAAGGAAAGCAUGAAGCAAACCUAGAUGAAAUGGGUCUAACUCCCCUACACCACUUAAAUACAAGGGAGGCUUAAACUAGAUUAAGAAAGAUCAGCCCAUUUUAGAUUUGUUCUCAUAGGUGAUAGAUUAUGAAGUAGUUAUUAAAUUUAAUUUAUUGCUUUUUAAAGUAAUAAUACAUGUAUGGCAUGCCCUAAAAUGAGACUACCUCAAAUAAAUUCCAAAUAAUGUGUGAAUAAAUUAUAAUAAUAUUACACAAAAACUAUCAGCAAAUAUUAAGAAAAAUAUCAUUGUCUUCAAGACCCUAGUUUUUGCGUUUUUCUUUUGUAGGUAAAUUAUAUACAAAUACAAAUAUAGUAGGAAAAUCAUUUAAUAAACAAGGUUGUAAUAGUAUAUAAAAUGUAUGCAAGGCGCACCAAGGCCAAAAGAAAAGAAAAUAUAAAAGGAAAUUGACCCACCUAAGACAACCCCAGAUUACCAAUUAAGUUCAAAAAGGAAAAAUUAGCAUCUUCCACUCAACAUUGGGCUGACUAAAAGAGACACUUAACAAAUCAGUUUAUUGCAACGAAGUCCAGAUGUUCUACUUUUUCAAAUAUUAUAUUUUUACAUAACUCAUAAUUAUUUUUUUUAAAUCUAGGUUUUGCAACCAAGUUCAACACGUUUUCCAACAACAUUAAGUUCCCAGUGAUGUUUCCAUACUAUUUAAGUUUUCAUAGUCCACAAUAAGCAUCUAAAACAUAAUUUAGUUCAAAUGGAAAUUUAACUUUAUUACAAAACAAAAUUCAAUUGAGAACAUUAACGUUUAGGUUUAUUCUAGGUGAAAGGCCUAGCCAUGCCCAUUGACAGCUAGGGUCAGGGGCCGAUUAGGCUCAAAAAGUAGUCUCAAGCCCAAUCAGAAACUGUAUGGGCCGAGCCUGAACUCAAGAUAAAUGCCUAUGAUCCAUUGGGCAAGCCUAAAUGAGUCCACAAUUGCCUUAACAACAAAAAUAUUGUCAUGACUGUUAGUGAUUGCCAGUCAUGGCUAAAUUUUAACUACCAUGGGCAACUACUGUUCAGAAAAGGCACUGUUAUCUUCAAUCUUAAUAUAAAUUAAGCAUAUGAUGACAUUAAAAAGGUCAUUUUAUCCUGAGCAUCAUACUGCAACUUUCUUUUCCAUUUCUCUCUUCGAAUCACUAACUUGACCAUUGGAGAAGGUGUUCUAUAACCAUCCCGAACAUUUUUUGUUUGCAUGUUGUUGGAUUCAGGCUGCUCACUCCAUUGAGGUUAAUCUACAUGAAAGUUGUUGAUGUUAGCUGAUUGUGGAAAUUGACAGCUUGACUGAUUGUGAUUGACUAAAAUAUAAAACUUAUACAAGCUGUAAAUUAAGGUUAUAAAUCAGUGAUAAAAUUAGGAUUAUAAAUUAAGGAUUCCUAGCUUGUUUGUAUAGUUGACUAAUAGUGACUACAUUCAAUGUAUUCUUGGAUUAUUUUCCUUUAUUGUUUUACCUGUAACCUUAUAUAUAUUAAUUGUAAAUUCCUCCAUUAAUACAAGAAUGCAAUUCCAUGAUUGUUUACAUGGUAUCCAGCAAAGUACUAUUAAAAUUGCUUCUCGUUUCUUUGGCCUAUAUUGGUGAAGCCAAGUGCAUUCUUCUUUGCUACAGCUUUAACAUUUCGUGGCCUUCAUUGCUGAAAUCGACAUAGAGAAAUACAAUCUUCAUUGUUGGUUCUCCCACAUUCUCUCUGCUUUUAUUCUCUUUCUCAAUAUGUCUGAAAUAUCUAGUAAUGUCCAAAUCUCUUCCUCCAUAAAAAAUUUCGAUCAAGUUGUAAUCCACUCUUCCUCUAGUGAAUACCAAAAUCUCCAAGCGUCAUUUAGGCUUAAUAGCCGGAGUUAUCUGGUUUGGUCUCCACAUGUGAAGGCAUCCCUUGAACGAAAGGGGAACCAAACAAUUUAGUUAGAUCGGUACCAAGCUCAAAAGACCCACAGUUUGUACCGACAAAACCCACCCCAUUGCCAUCCCUCUCUAUGGUGAUCUAUUGAUUUAUCAUCUAUUGUUAGAUAUAAAGAGUAGAUCAUUAAUUUUGCAAACUUAUCUAUUAAUCUAUUUAUUGAACAUAAGAAUAAGGAUGCAACAUAAAAUGGUUCCUUGUGGUGCAGGAAUAAAUAAUCCCAAAAUGUUGAAAGUGUUGCCAAAAUUCAAGAGUAAGGUUUCUUUUUUAUCACCUUAUUUUCCCUAUUGUCAAGUUCGUUUAGAAGCAACGGAAAUCAUUUGUCCCAUAUUGAUUCACAAACAAAUGCUUUGAGAUUAUUUGUUAAGGAUCAAUGAUGAAUUUUUAUACGAUGUAAGUAGUAUCAUGCAAACACUACACUGAAAUAAGAACAACAAAAAUUUAAGGUGACCUACUUAAGAACAAUUUAACCUUUUUGAGGGUUUUCUUUUUUUUCUUUUCUUGCAAACAAGAAGUACAACUGAAAUUUCCUUUCUUGCAAACAAGAAGCAUACAACUGAAAUCCCAAUAUAUAACUAAAACACCAUAGGGUAAGGAUGGGCAUUGUUCUCUUGAACAAAAAGCACAAGCAAUCCUCCAAGAAAGAAAAUCCUCUAGGAUCAUAGUAAAUAAAUCUGUGUUAACAAUGCUUCCUAGACGUUUAUUGGAAAAUAAACAUCCACAAGUACCAAAUACAACUGAAAUCCCAAUAUACAACUAAAACACCAUCGAACAAGGACUACUAUAACACCAAAAAAUAAAAUAAAUAAAAUAACGGAAGAAAGCUCAUGGAGGUAAAAACUCCUAAAAAAACACCUUGAAAAGAGAAGCACUACACUUUGCUGACCAGUCUGUUGGUUGGCCAAGUGAAGGAUCCACCAAACUAGAUUUGGAGAUGGAAAAUUUUAGGUAAUUAGUCAUCUCACUUUUGAGGGUCUCAUAAGACACCAAGAAGAUAACUAAACCAAGUCACCUC